rnacentral:lncRNA from 1 species
GUUGCCAAAGUAGCUGCAAUUCAACAGGUUGAAUCCAUAAUAAUAGUCAUCAGAAGUAAAAGCUAUAAUUUGGGAGCCAGGGGUGCUUAAGCAAGCGACUCUAUAUCUUUUUUUAUACAAAGCCUUCUCUUGGCUUGAACAUUCAAACAAGGUAUAGUUGGAUUCAGCUGGUUGGGAUCUAUAAACUUUUAGGCGGCUGAAACCUGGUUGUUCCUCCGCGAAUGGAAAGGCAGAUAAAUUGAGAUAAAAAAGCUGCUUCCAGAGGCAACGGCCGGGAACGUACAAGUCAAUCCGCUGAGCUUCAUAAUCUAUGUGCUUCACCAACAGCUUCAGCGAACGUGGUAUCCUCAGCAGGGUCUGUUUGUUUUCUGAGCAGGAAAGCUGAAACCCAGGAUGAGGAUAGCCGCAGUGGGGUGACUGCUGGCCUUCUAAACGAAAGGGGAAACGGACAGGUGGAUCCUGGUGGUUGCACCGCUGCACCUUGCAGUCGUCUUGGAUUGGCACUGCUUCUGCAACAUUCACAGCUAAGAUAAAGCAGAAUAACGAGUAAAUUAACAUUGUUCUUACUAACUUGUGAGCCCCUGAAGUGAAACGGGCUUUAAAUAGUUUCAUUGACAUAGGUGGUUCAGCCCUUGAGAGUUCCAAUUAUGCACGCAACGCAGCUGCUGCUUUACUAUAUAGAUUUGUCUCGUUUAACAGGGUCUUCAACUCUUCGUCCUCUCUUUGUCCUCUUUUAUGAGUAAAUGUUGGACAUGUUUGAUUGUUAGCAACCCUUUCUAAUCUUGUUACUAAUUUUCUUUUAUUACCGUUAGUUGUAGUAAAAUUUGAGGAAAAAACACUGAACAUGAGAAUGAAUACCGAUUUGCUGUUGUGAUCAUAGUGGGGUUAGCUUGACUGACUUUUGUUUUUCCACCUUCGUUUCACUACAUUUUGUUUGGUAUGACUAAGAAGUUGACUGACUUUUAUGGGUUCUUUUUAAUGUCUAUCGUUUCUUUUCUAAUGUAGGUGGUUUUUUUCUCACUUUCUUUUUUUCUAAUUUAUCUUUUACUUUUAAAAAUGGCAAAACUCGAAUCAUAUGUUUUUAAAUUACUUAUACAAAUUUUUUAAAAGUGGAUACAAGACAAUGAGAUGAUUUUUUCCACAUGAGUAUGAAACAAUUAUAGUCAUUGUUUGCUCUACUCACCCUAUCUCGAAAUAAUCUUUUACCUUUCUUUGUAUAUAAUUAUUAAAAUGAUAAAAAUGUAAUAAUAUAUUAUAGAAAAAAUUCAUAUGUUUUAUACUUAUAUUUUUUAAAAAUUAUGUUUAAAUAUUUACUUGUCUUAAAAAAAGUAAAAUUAUUAAAAUAACUAGAAAUAAAAAUUAAAUUAAAUUAGAGCGAAGCAAGGUGAGAUGGGAUGGGGAUGGAUGCUUCUAAUAUCUAUGCGGUGAUAGUAAUUUUUCAGAUUAUACAUCCAACACAAGUAAAAAUUCAUAUGCAAGGAAUCAAAAUAUCAGUCCACUAAGCCAAUAAUUUAAUUACAACAUUAAGAUAAUUUAAAACGUAACGAUUACAAACUAAUUUUUUAAAUGUUGGUUGCUUAAAACGUAAGGAUCACAUGCACUAUAAACGUAAGGACCACCGUUGAAAGCCAUGCAAAAAUCUACAAUUUUAUAUUUAUAUGUACAUAUAUACAUAUACAUAUACACGUAAACACUAUAAAUCAUGCCAACCAUUAACAAAGCCAUGCAAAUAUUUAUAUUUAUAUUUAUAUAUUUCAUAUAUUUAUACAUUCACAUGCACAUAACUAAAUACGACAUCAUGCAAAUAUAGUUAUGUACAGAAUAUUGAUAUAUUAUCUCAUUAAUUUUAAAAAUAAACAACACCAAAAGACCAAGCUUUACACUACUCACACGACAUAACAUUGGGUUCACGAAUCCUCAAAGCACUACUCCCUCUGGGCUUUCUAUUAACAGCAACCUCCUUUGUCUUUAUUUGGUUGUGGCUUCUAUGCAGAUUAGACGAGAGGCUUCAAUGGAUGAUAUAAAAGAGGUGGUGUUGGUCAGUGUUGGGCAGAGGUGGCCUGAUGUCGGUGCAAGGAGAUCAACGGUUAGGGACGAGGGUGACUGUGGAGCGAUGAGAUGUUGGGGCGACGGAAGAACUCACGAUGGCGGUGAUAGGGCGGACAAUGGUGCAUUGAUGGAGAUGACUCCAAGGCAGCGUGAUGAAAGGGAGGGACGACUUGGGGCAGUUGGCUGACGGUGUGGCGACUAAGAGGAUCGGUGCUUAGUGAUGGAAUGAAGGAGAUAAUGCCUGACGUUGGGGAGUGAAAGGUGGUAAUCAGUCUUUUAUUAGGUUUGAUAGUAGGAAAGUUUGACCAAAUGUAUUCAUUCUUUUUUAGUCAUAACUCUGAAACCUAAUUGAUGAUGAUGAUAGAGCACACACACCUAAGCCACCACUCUCUCGACUAAGUACAGUUUUUUUUGUUGCUUUUGAAAAUUGUUUUUAGAAAAUACCUUUAAAAAAUACUUUUAAAAAAUUUGAAUAUUUGGUAUUGCUAUAAAAAAAUAUGAUAUUAUAAAGUAAUAAAUAUGUGUUUAAAUAAUAUUCAAAUUAGUUAAUAUUAUGAUAUUUUAGCAAAAAAAUAAAAAAUAAUUUAUUAUAACUUAUUGUUAAUAUUUUAAUAUAUAAUAUUAAUUUUAAAUAUUUCUAAGUAAUUAAUAUUAAUUAUUUAUUAACUUUAAUUAGAAUAUAUAAACUAUAUUUAAAUAUUUAAAUAUAAUAAUUAAAUAAUUGUAAUUAGAUAUUGACACAACUGUAUUAUUAUAAAAAUUAUUUUUUAUUUUUAAUUAAUGCUUUUAACACAUUUGUAUUAUUUUAUUUUAAAAUGUAUUUGAAUAUAUAACUCAUAUUAGAUAUUAACAUAACAUAGAAAACAUAAACCUAAAAAAUUAAAAUAUUACAUAUAUUUGGAUUAAAGUUUUAAAAAGGGAUAAUAUUUAUAUACCAAAUAUAAAUACUAAAAAUUUUACAAUAGCAUUUACAAUUUAAAGUGAAUUCAUUAAACUAGAAGCUAUAGCAUCUCUUGUUAAUUCCAUUUCAAAACCACUUGAAUUGUUUGAUUCACUGUCAUCAUCACUAUCUUCGUCGUCGUCGUCAUCAUCAUCACUUUAUCGACCAUGCGCAUUUUCUGAAUCAAUAAUUGUAAUAGCCCGAUUUUAGGCUUAGUCGGAACAGUGGUUUCGGGACCACAAAUCCGACGAAAAAAAAUGUAAUGGCUUGAAUUUUCAGAGGUGUCGGAACGGUGAUUCGAGAUCACUAAAUUCGACAAAUGGGUAGAAAAUAUUAUUAAUUUAGUAAGUAUAAGUUAAAUAUGAAGUUAGGAAAAUUUUUGAAAUAGUGAAUAGUGCACUAGAAAUAAAUAUUAAAAUAAUUAGAAUCGAAAUGAGGUAUCAAGACCUCGGGGAUUUUAAACUGAGCCAUAAAUAUUUUUAUAAAUAUUUAUGGAGUGUUAAAAAGUUAGUAUUAUAGUUUCGUUAAGAAAUUUUAAAGUUCUGAUAAUUAAUUGAACAAAAAGGACUAAAUUGUAACAAAUGCAAAAUUUUGGGAAAUGAUUAAAUAGCUUAAAUGAUAAAAGGAAGAGGGCUUAAAAGGCAAAUAGACCCAAGGUCUAUUUGGGCUGGACGGCAGAGGCAUGAAAUCAGCAAGAAAGAAAGGAGAAUUAAGGGAAAAAUUGGAAAAUUGCAAAAUUUGCUUAAUAAAGUUAGGACCCAAGUGGAAUUAUCUAGAUUUCUCUUCAUUUUUUUGAAUUCUCAUCAGCUAAAACACCAUGGAAGGGCUUCUUCAAGCUGGUUCUUCAUAUUUUUAUUACAAGUAAGUUCAAUUCUUGACUAUUUCUUGAAAUUUUUGUAUUUUUAUGACUUUUACAACUAGGCCCACUUGUUAAAUCCAUUAUUUUUUGAUUUUAUGAAAGAAGUUGAAAGUUGAUAUGAAUAUGUGCUGGAAGUAUAUGAUGAUUUAGCAUGAAAUUAGAGCUUUAAAUUGUUCAUAUGCUGAUUUUAUUGAAAGAAUUGAAUAGAAAGUGAAUGUUUGGGACCUAAUAGUAAAAGAGUUUGAAGAUAGAGUUAUAUGUGGAAAUUCUGAAUUUCAAUAGUUGUGUAACAACUUAUAAUGUCUAGUAAAGUACUAAUUGAGAAAAUUAGAUUAAUUGAGGGGUUAAUUGAGAAAGGACCGAAUUGUAUAAACUGUGAAAUUUGGGGCAAAAUGGAAAUCAACAUUUUGCACUAAAGCAGUUUUGGACAGCAGCAGUAGUGUAACUUUGAAAAAUCACCAAAAAUUGUAGAGAUUGAAUUAGAGGAUGAAUAAAAUAUGAAACUAAAGCUUAUUGAGUCUAGUUUCUUAUAAAAGAAAUGAUGUGAGCAAUGGAAUUGUAAAUCAUGAGAUAUAAUAGAUUUUGUGAGACAAGGUCAGAAUGAAUUCGGGUUCCCCUGUUCUGACUUUGGAAAAUCAUUAAAAAUUGUACAAAAAUGAUUAUGAGUUUUAGUUUAUAUGGUUAGAAUCCUUAAUGAGUCUAUUUUUAGAAGAAACAAGCUAAAACAUCAUCCGAAUUCUAUACAAUGAGAUAAUUAAUUUUUAGUGAAGAGUGGUUGGAACUGUCAGACAGCAAAACAGGGGAAACUUUAAAGAAUAAACUGUACUAUUUGGCUGAACCAAAAAUUAUGAAAAUUUUAUGGUAUUAAGAUAUGUGAGUCUAGUUUCAGGGAAAAUUAACGGAUCUUAAUUUGGAGCUCUGUAGCUCCGGAUAAAAAUAAUUUAGUGACUCUGACUCGGAUAAAUAGCUUUGAAUAUACAUGUUAGUGAAUAUUGAAAUUAUGGUUAAUGUUGUUUAAGUGUGUUAUACACAUUAAGGAUGUGGAAUGGAGAGGAGGAGGAGGAAAAUUGGGAAAUAUAUGAAUGAUUCGUGUAUAAAUGGUCAUAUGUUUGAUUAUAACUCAUAAACGAUGAAAUAUGAAUGAUGCUUAUUUUUGUGCAUUAUUGGUCAUGGUUUAAGCUCAUGUGUGAAAAUAAAGUUUCAUAGUAUGUGUGUAUGGUAUAUUCAGUAUAUGAUUUGGCAUGAAAUAAUACCAUGAAUGGUUUAUGAAUUAACACAUGUUGGUAAGCCUGAUAUAUGAAUAAAUGAUCAAAUUGAGCGGAACGCCGGAUUUGAGUACUUCUGAUCAAGUGACAAAGUGAUAAGUGGUAGCUUUAGCUACACUUAUCUGAUCAAGUGACAAGUGGAAAGUGAUAAGUAAUAGCUUCGGCUAUACUUAUCUGAUCAAGUGACAAAGUGAUAAGUGAUAGCUUCGGCUACACUUAUCUGAUCAAGUGACAAGUGAAAAGUGAUAAGUGAUAGCUUCGGCUAUACUUAUCUGAUCAAGAGACAAAGUGAUAAGUGAUAGCUUUAGCUACACUUAUCUGAUCAAGAGACAAAGUGAUAAGUGGCUACACUUAUCUGAUCAAGAAACAAAGUGAUAAGUGGCUACACUUAUCUGAUCAAGAAACAAAGUGAUAGGUGGCUACACUUAUCUGAUCAGGGACAAGUGAUAAGUGAUCAUACGUAAGACCAUAGUUAUACUAUGGCAAAGUGAAAGUGAAGUACUCAAUUUUCCGUGACCGUUCCGUAAUUUGAUUAAGGAUGGUAAGUGACAAAUGGGCCCAAAAGAAUUAAAGUAAAUGGAUAAGUGGUAGUGUAUUUAUAUCAGGACGAUGUUGUUAUUCAAACUAAAGUGAUAUUUUCAUUGCUAAAUUGAGAAUUUCAUAAAUGUGUUAUUGAAUGGUAUAAUCAAUAAACAUUGAGUUAAAUGGUAAAUACGUAUUAGUUUUGAAUUUGAUGUCAUUGAAUUGUACGUGAAUUAAAUGGAAAUUGCUAGUGAUAUGAUUUAAAUUAUGAGCAUGAGAAAUUGCGAAUUGAAUGAAAUGGAAAUGAAGCAUUAAAUUGCAUGAGUAUGUAUCGGGUCUCGCAGGCCCUAAUUAUUAUGAAUAUAUUAUUUUGAGGAUAUACUGUGAAAAGUUAUAGAAACAUGUUAAUUAUUUUGAAAGUUUUAAUUUUGAUGAAAUUUUAUAACUCGGUUAAAUACGUUUACAAGUGUAUGUGUUUUGGUAAUGCCUCGUACCCUAUUCCGGUGUUGGAUACGGGUAAGGGGUGUUACAAUAAUAUUCUCAUAUGCCCAGUUAAUAUCUUCGUAUUCCAUAAAAUCUGCAUCAUUUCGACCGAAAUGUUUUCAGAUAAAAUUGUGUAUUGUCAUUGUAGCAACAACGAUCAUGGUUUGCUUUUCAAAAAUAUAACUUGGCAUAUCCCUUAAAAUGGCCCUUUUUUUCAAAACACCAAAAGUUCGUUCAAUCACACUACGUAAUGAUGAAUGUGAAUGAUUGAAUAUCUCUUCUAUACCAGAUAUCGGUCUACCUCUACGAAAGUCAAGUAAAUGAUAUCGUAUGGGUUUUGCUUAUGAUUGCGGCACUCUUUAAUAUGUACCAUUUGCAAUACAUUUAAGUAAAAAUAUUAUUAUAUAUAAAGUCCUAAGGCAGUCAUUAAGAAAACCCAUGUAGUUACUUCAAACAUGUGGUAUUAUUGAUUAUCAAAGUAAUGGCAUUAAAGGCAUGACUUCCCCACUCCACCGGUCCAGGUGCAACUGCAUUAAUGGAGUAAAAAAGACACAUACCUAGCUACAAAACUCAAUUAUGGCUUGUUUCCAAACCUUACCAAACCAUGAACUCAACAUGAUACUUCAAACAAUUGAAUCACCAAACUAAAAGAGAAAAAAAGAAUUUCAAAAACUAGAAUAAAUUGCUUGGAUGUUUAAGUUCAAACCUGGGAAUAUAUAUAUAGAAACGCAAAAGUUGAAGCAAAAAGAAAAGAAAAAAGCCAGUGUAACCUCCAGUAAGAAGCUCAAAAGAAUGGAAAUGCUAGCAUUUACCAAUCAAAAUUAAUAUAUAGUAAAGUAAUUAAGUUGAAAAAAAGAACUUUGCAAAUGAAGAAGAGACAGAAAACAACACACAUAAAAAAUGGACAAAGACUGAUGAUGUUUGUAAACCAUCCAGAAAAUAGAAUAAGAAGAGAACAAAUCCAUCAACCACCUCUCUGAAAACUAUCCAUUUGCCAGCAGAGGAACAAAAAACCAGCACCAGCAGAGGAACAAAGAACGAGCGAUGAGAGAAGAGAUGAGAGCAAAGAACCAGUGUUGUAUGUGUGGUUAAAAAAGUAAAAGACCAGCCCAAAAGUACUUUUCGGCUGAAAAAGCUAAAAAAUUCUACUUUUUCAUCUGCCCAAAAGCACUUCAAAUAAGUUCGAAAUUUGCUACCAAAUGAAGUCUGUUCUGCAUUACUUUUUAGAGAAAAGCACUUUUCCUUUACUGAAUUGAAUUAAUGGAAAAAAACGACAAAGAGUGUAAUUUUUACUUUACUUUACUGAAAGUGAAUGGAUAAAUAUGGAAUUAGAGAAUAAAGAAAAUUGGGGAAAAAAGAAGAAGAAGAAGGAGAAGUGUUGUCAUGAUUAUGACCCUUGGAUAUUAUGGAAGAAGUGAAGAAAUAAUUGCAAUUGGAUAUUAAUUAUAAUGUUGGGAUUUUUAUUAAUGUUUUAAUUAUAUUAAUUGUUACAUGGCCGUGUGGCUCAAAUGGACGUGUGGAAGAGGUCAGUUUAUGUGGCUCCCGUACUUGUUUUGAUUUUCAAUUCUUGAUAAGUGUCAAAAGUAACAUAUUUUAAUUUCGUUCUUAAUACGUUUUUAGAUGAUUAAUCAAUGCAAAAUGGUGAAUUUUAUACUCAUAAUCCUUUAAAUUUAUAUUUCUAUACUUAUAAGAGCAUUUUGAGAGAAAAAUGAGUGAAAACGGAGCGAAAAUCAGACAAUUGGAGUAGAUUUUAGGAGCCACAUGGGUUGGACACACGAUCAUGUGAGCCAUACGAGCUGCCAGACAGCCAUGUGCCAGACCGUGUGGAUUUCGCGUUUCACACUCCAAAUAUGUGGAAUCACGCAGUUUUUAGGUUUUUCGGGCAUUCUUAGACCUAUAUAUACCAAAUAUAAGGAGAGAAGUAAGAGCCGUCAGAGAAUAUUGAAGAAAACAACUCAGAAGACACCAUUGAAGCCAACUUUGAAACAGAUUUCCACUAAGAUUGAAGAUCUCCUUUUGAUUUAUUUGAAGUUUAUUAUGAGUUUCUUUAUUUUUUUGUGGUUAUAUUGUCUUUGAGAUGUUUUUAUUCGCGAUUAUGAACUAAUUUUCUAAUACCUAGGGGAGAUGAACCUUAUGAUGAAUUUUGUCUUUUGAUUUCUGUUUUAUGCAAUGAAUAAUUGAAUCUUAUUCUUAGUUAUGUGUGCUUAAUUCUUGAUUUAAUAUUUUCGAAUUAUUAAUUCAUGUUUGAUGUGCUUAAUUCAAAGUAGAUCUAGCAUAAUUGAGUGGAGUUGCAUGUAAUCUUAGAAAUAGGACGACAUAAAUCUACCGAAUUAGGUAUUCAUAAAUGAGAACUCAAUCAUAUCCAUCGGCACAAAACCCAACCAGGCGAGUCACAUUUACAUAGUGGAUUCUACCCAUCGAACUCACCUCAUUGAUGAACUCUUAAUAGUUAACUAAAGUUUGCUUUCUACUUUUUUUUUAUUUCUAUUUUUAAGAAAAUGUUAUUUUAUUAAUUCAAUUAUCAAAAUUAAUAUUAUUUUAUUUAAAUUAGAUUAAUCCUCAUUUAAUUAUUACAAGUAUAUUAUUUUAGAAUUAUAAAAAUUAUUAUUUAAUAAAUUAAACAAAUAAACAUUUAAAAUCACAUACAUUACAUUAAAAACUAAUAUAUCUAAAUAUAUAUUUUACCACUUAUUUUAAUCUUGUUAUUUUUAAUUUCAUCAAAAUUAUAUAUCACUCGAGCCACUGCGACUGCUGACUGGCGAUUAUUGCCUGCAUAAUUUGAUGAAAGGUUCUGAAUUAAUACAUCCAAGACUUUUAUGAGCAUCGCCAUUGACUGACCGACGACUUGUAUGAAUGAAUUUUCCACAUUAGCUUUAUUAUGGACUGAUUUUUCAAAGAAAGAAUUUUCCACUUGCUCUCAGUUGCAGCCAUAAAAUAAAUGAAUGAUUGGCAUUUUACAUUAAAGAACAUCCCAUUGUUUAUUUCUUCAUCGGAGCUCCACCGGAACCUGAUGAUGUUAAGACCCAGACUUGUCUUGUUUAGCGUCUUUGCCCUUACUUUAUCUCUAUCCCCAGAUGUUUCCGAUGGUAGAGCAGGCAAAAGCAACCACUGCAACCCAUCUUUGUGUGGACACGUUAAUAUCAGUCACCCUUUCCGACUAAAGGGUCAGCCUCGAGAAUGUGGUGACCGUAGGUUUGAAUUAGAGUGCAAGGGAAACCGCACCAGUUUUCCCACGAAAUACGGAAACUUUUAUGUCCUAAACAUCUCUUAUGUUUACGGAACGCUUCGACUUGUGGAUGUGAGUCUGGUCGAUGAAAACUGCUCAAUUCCUCGCAGUUCCAUUGUCGAUUCUUCAGACAGCUAUCUAGAAUACAUAAUAGCGAAUGGAGCAGACACCAUGUAUCUGGUAAAUUGCACGACAAAGAUGAAGUCUUCUUCAGUUUAUGUCGAUGCUUCUCGUUGCCCAACCAAUAGCUCUUCUUCUCCUUGGACCUACUUCUACUUUCCGGUCUUGUUUUCAAAUAUAUCCGAUUUCCAUCAUUCGUGCAGAUUUAUAUGUUAACAUUAAUGGGAGACAACAUUAAUGGCAAACAAUACAAAGUGGUGCAAGUUUAGCACCCUAAAGUUGACUUUGAAAAAAGUGGCAUGGGAUAAUUUUUUUUGGUCAUUGAGAUAAUGGGCUAUUUAUUGUUUGGUCCUUAAACCUCAACUAUAAAUAGGCCUUCUCAUUUCUCAUUUCAAUUCAUCCCAACCAAUCUUUCUCUCUUAGUUUUAUCUCUUCUCCCAUUUGAGAAUUCUUAAGGAAUUCUAUUUGUUUGUAAUAUUUUGGAGAUAGUAAAGUUAUCAUCUGGUUUUAGUAGCCCGAGGACGUAGGUAUAAUUUACUGAACCUCGUUAAAACUCUUGUAUUCUUUUUGUCCUAUUUUUCUUUCAAUAUUUGAGGGUAUAAUAGUAGUAUUUAAUUGUGCUAUUAAAUUACGUUAGAAGGAAUAUUCUGACUAAGGAAAGACUUGGUAUUUAAGAGAUCCUUGUGAUCCACCUCUCUUCCCUGGGAAUUGAACUUUGUGUGAUUUUUAGUACAAUAAUUUACACGCUUCCGACCCUAUUGGAACUACAAGUGGUAUCAAGAGCCGAAGGUUAAUCGUAGUAUGCUCUGUGGUUGCAGUUUAAACUGAUCUUCCACAUCAGAAAAGAUUUCUUUAGGUAUAUUGAAAGAUUAUGGAGAAAACAGUCGGUGUAGGAGCUUCAACAUCGUCCAUAUGGACAAGACCGACAAUUGCAAAUGCAAGAUUGGCCGUGGAGAUCUUUGAUGGCACGGGCCAUUUUGGUAUGUGGCGAAGUGAGGUUCUAGAUGCCCUUUUUCAGCAGGGUCUAGACAUUGCCAUUGAUGAAGAGAAACCAGAUGAUGUACAGGAGAAAGAUUGGAAGGCGAUCAAUCGGUUGGCAUGUGGCACAAUUCGAUCAUGCUUUUCUCGAGAGCAGAGGUAUGCUUUUUCAAAGGAGACUUCUGCAAAUAAGUUGUGGGUGGCACUUGAAGAAAAAUUUUUGAAGAAAAACAGUCAAAAUAAGCUCCACUUGAAGAAAAGACUGUUUCGCUUCACAUACGUCCCAAGUACCACAAUGAAUGAUCACAUCACCAAAUUUAAUCAGUUAGUCACUGAUUUGCAGAAUAUGGAUGAGACAUUCAAAGAUGAAGAUUUGGCUUUGAUGCUAUUGGGGUCACUUCCUGAGGAGUUUGAGUUCCUAGAAACUACUCUACUUCAUGGCAGGAGUGAUAUAUCUCUGAGCGAAGUCUGUGCGGCCUUAUACAGUUAUGAACAGAGAAAGAAGGACAAACAGAAAAACUCAAUCAGAGAUACAGAAGCUUUAGUAGUCCGAGGUCGUUCAUACACUCGGAAGAAAACUCAAAAGGGGAGAUCAAAGUCAAAGUCCAGACUCGGGAAAAAUGAAUGUGCUUUUUGUCAUGAGAAAGGCCACUGGAAGAAAAAUUGUCCAAAGCUGAAGAAUAAGGGAAAAGCUGCUGUAGAUGCUUGUGUUGCUAAGCAUGAUACUAGUGACUCUGAACUAUCACUGGUUGCAUCAUCAUCGUCGUUCCAUUCAGAUGAGUGGAUAUUGGAUUCGGGUUGUACCUAUCAUAUGUCCCCUAACCGGGAGUGGUUCUCUGAUUUAGUAGAACUAAAUGGAGGAGUUGUUUAUAUGGGCAAUGACAAUGCCUAUAAAACUGUUGGGAUAGGUUCAAUCCAAUUAAAGAAUAAAGAUGGAUCAACCAGAGUUCUGACUGAUGUUCGGUACGUGCCCAGUUUGAAGAAAAAUCUCAUCUCAUUGGGAGCCUUGGAAUCCAAUGGUUCAGUUGUUACUAUGAGAGAUGGGAUUUUGAAAGUGACAUCUGGCGCACUUGUGAUAUUGAAGGGCAUCAGAAAAAAUAACUUGUAUUACUACCAAGGUAGUACAGUGAUUGGAGCAGUCGCUGCAGCUUCCGGCAACAAAGAAUUGGACUCAAUACAGUUGUGGCAUAUGAAGUUGGGACAUGCCAGCGAAAAAUCCUUACAAAUUCUGGCAAAGCAAGGAUUGUUGAAAGGUGCAAAGGCUUGCAAAUUAAAAUUUUGCGAGCAUUGUGUUCUGGGAAAGCAAAAGAGAGUGAAAUUCGGUACUGCUAUCCAUAAUACAAAAGGUAUUUUGGAAUAUGUUCACUCAGAUGUGUGGGGGCCUUCCAAGACACCUUCAUUGGGAGGAAAACACUACUUUGUUACUUUUGUUGAUGACUUUUCCAGAAGAGUUUGGGUGUAUACCAUGAGAACUAAGGAUGAAGUGCUUAGAGUUUUUCUUAAAUGGAAAACUAUGAUCGAAAACCAGACUGGCAAGAAAAUCAAGCGGCUUAGGACGGACAAUGGAGGGGAAUAUAAAAGUGAUCCGUUCUUCGAUGUGUGCCAAGAGUAUGGUAUUGUUCGACACUUCACAGUUAGGGAUACACCACAGCAGAAUGGAUUGGCAGAGCGUAUGAAUCGAACAUUGCUGGAGAAAGUUCGAUGUAUGUUGUCCAAUGCUGGGUUGGGCAAGCAAUUUUGGGCUGAGGCUGUGACAUACGCUGGCCAUCUUGUUAAUCGUUUGCCAUCAUCUGCAUUAGAAAGAAAAACUCCUAUGGAGGUAUGGUCUGGAAAACCGGCUACAGAUUAUGAUUCCUUACAUGUGUUUGGAACCACUGCAUAUUACCAUGUGAAGGAGUCAAAGUUAGAUCCGAGGGCAAAGAAAGCUCUCUUUAUGGGAAUCACUUCUGGAGUGAAGGGAUUUCGUCUUUGGUGCUUAAGCACAAAGAAAAUGAUCUGUAGCAGAGAUGUUACCUUUGAUGAAUCUGCCACAUUGAAAAAGGUAGCAGAUAAAGAUAUUCAGACGAGCAAUACUCCACAGCAGGUGGAGUGUACUCCAAAACAGGUGGAGUUUGAGCAGAUGGGGAUUUGCCCAGUUAAUAAGUCUAAUUCUCCAGCCACAAUGGAGGAAUUAGAGGUUGAAGAGGUUCUGACCCAAGAACCACUAAGUACACCAGAACCAGUUGCAGUUGCAAGGCCACGGAGAGAAAUUCGUAAACCUGCUCGAUUUACUGAUAUGGUGGCCUACGCCCUUCCUGUUGUUGAUGAUAUUCCUAUCACUUAUCAAGAAGCAAUGCAAAGCUUAGAAAGUGAUAAAUGGAAAAGCGCCAUGGAUGAAGAAAUACAGUCUCUCCGGAAGAACAAUACUUGGGAGUUGGCGCAAUUACCGAAAGGUAAAAGGGAAAUCGGAUGCAAGUGGGUAUUUGCAAAGAAAGAUGGAUCUCCUAGCAAGAAGGAUAUUCGCUACAAGGCAAGAUUGGUAGCUAAAGGCUACGCUCAGAAGGAGGGAAUUGACUACAAUGAUGUAUUUUCCCCUGUUGUGAAGCAUUCCUCCAUUAGAAUUUUGUUGGCCUUGGUAGCACAGUUAAAUUUGGAGCUAGCUCAACUUGAUGUUAAGACGGCUUUUUUGCAUGGUGAGUUAGAAGAGGAGAUCUAUAUGACUCAGCCCGAAGGAUACACAGAUGCUGGUAGUAGAAAUUGGGUUUGUAAGCUGAACAAAUCGCUAUAUGGAUUGAAGCAAUCCCCGAGGCAGUGGUACAAGCGAUUUGAUAGCUUUAUGAGAAGGCAGAAGUACACAAGAAGCAAAUAUGACAAUUGUGUAUAUUUGCAGAAGCUGCAUGACGGAUCUUUCAUUUAUCUACUCUUGUAUGUUGAUGAUAUGUUAAUCGCUUCGAAGAGCCAAAAUGAGAUAGAUAAGCUGAAGGCUCAGUUGAAUCAAGAGUUCGAGAUGAAAGAUCUAGGUGAGGCCAAGAAGAUUCUCGGCAUGGAGAUAAGUAGAGAUAGACCGAGAGGCAAGCUCUGUUUAAAUCAGAAGCAAUAUCUGAAAAAAGUAUUACAAUGUUUUGGUGUAAAUGAAAACACAAAACAUGUAAGUACCCCACUUGCUUUUCAUUUGAAACUUAGUGCUCAAUUAUCUCCGAAGACUGAAGAUGAAAGAGAAUAUAUGGCGAAAGUCCCAUAUGCUAAUGCAGUUGGGAGUUUGAUGUAUGCGAUGGUGUGUACGAGGCCUGACAUUUCACAAGCUGUUGGAGUUGUGAGCAGGUAUAUGCAUGAUCCUGGAAAAGGACAUUGGCAAGCUGUGAAAUGGAUUCUACGGUAUCUUCGAAAAACCGUAGAUGUUGGUUUAAUUUUUGAACAGGAUGAAGCACUUGGUCAGUUUGUAGUUGGAUAUGUUGAUUCCGACUUUGCUGGUGAUUUAGAUAAACGUCGUUCAACUACGGGGUAUCUGUUUACUCUUGCGAAAGCCCCAGUGAGUUGGAAGUCUACCUUACAGUCUACAGUAGCUGUGUCUACUACAGAGGCAGAAUAUAUGGCAGUUACAGAAGCUGUUAAGGAGGCUAUUUGGCUUAAUGGAUUAUUGAAAGACUUGGGAGUUGUUCAAAGUCACAUUAGUCUAUAUUGUGACAGUCAGAGUGCUAUUCAUUUAGCGAAAAAUCAAGUCUAUCAUUCAAGAACCAAGCAUAUCGACGUAAGAUAUCACUUUGUGCGGGAAGUCUUUGAAAAAGGAAAAAUUCUACUUCAGAAGAUUCCGACAGCAGAUAAUCCCGCAGAUAUGAUGACCAAGGUGGUAACAACAAUCAAGUUUAAUCAUUGUUUGAACUUGAUUAACAUCUUGAGAAUUUGAGCACCUUUAGGUGUAUGGCGCUCGAGAGCGCAUUUGGAGGCACUACAAAAGAUAGCUUUAUCGAAUUUGGGGAGUUGAAGGAAGUGUGUGAAUAUGUGAUUAUCCUAAUCAAAUCUUCAAGGUGGAGAUUGUUAACAUUAAUGGGAGACAACAUUAAUGGCAAACAAUACAAAGUGGUGCAAGUUUAGCACCCUAAAGUUGACUUUGAAAAAAGUGGCAUGGGAUAAUUUUUUUUGGUCCUUGAGAUAAUGGGCUAUUUAUUGUUUGGUCCUUAAACCUCAACUAUAAAUAGGCCUUCUCAUUUCUCAUUUCAAUUCAUCCCAACCAAUCUUUCUCUCUUAGUUUUCUCUCUUCUCCCAUUUGAGAAUUCUUAAGGAAUUCUGUUUGUUUGUAAUAUUUUGGAGAUAGUAAAGUUAUCAUCUGGUUUUAGUAGCCCGAGGACGUAGGUAUAAUUUAUUGAACCUCGUUAAAACUCUUGUGUUCUUUUUGUCCUAUUUUUCUUUCAAUAUUUGAGGGUAUAAUAGUAGUAUUUAAUUGUGCUAUUAAAUUACAUUAGAAGGAAUAUUCUGACUAAGGAAAGACUUGGUAUUUAAGAGAUCCUUGUGAUCCACCUCUCUUCCCUGGGAAUUGAACUUUGUGUGAUUUUUUAGUAUAAUAAUUUACACGCUUCCGACCCUAUUGGAACUACAUUAUAGCCCAGUUUCCUGUCAUGCUUUCCAAUAUUAGUGGCUUAUCCCCUUCGUACAUUUACAAAAACCUGUUGGAAGGCGUCGACGUGUACUGGUAUAUACCCUAUACUGAUUGGACUUUAAACCCGAUUCUCAAAGUGUAAGAGACUUCGAUCUUUAGAUUCUUUCAAUCUAUAACUUUUCAAGGUCUUAUUUAUUGAUUGGUUGCUUUUGUUUUUCCUUGGGGGGGUUAUUCUAGCCUGCUACAUUUGGUGAACUAUCUGCUACUUCCAAUUACAGCAUACAUAGUAAGCAAUGUGGCCUUUCUUCUACCGGGAAUCUUCGGCCAUUAUCCUUUUGGGAAAGGUUAAUCUUUCAGAUUUCAUAAGUAUCUUUAUUUAUUGGAUUUGCCCUUGAAUUGUAUUCGAGUUAGUAAUUUUAUUGUUCAAUUUGCGUUUUAAACAGGAGCCACCUUCGUUUGUCUUGCAGUAUCAGGUAAAUCUCUUUCCCUUCCCACUUUUUAUGUUAUCUUUAUAAAAUAAUCAUGAAUGCUGAUUUAUCCUUGUGUAUGCACCUUGAUGGGCAAGCAGGCAUAUUGUUAGCGAGAACUUUGUUGGGGAUAUUCUGCCUCAUUACACUUGUCAUACACAAACUAAAGAGGAGGCAUUUAUCGAUGGAUGAUAAUAUUGAAAACUUUCUUCAAAGUCAAAGUAAUUUAAUACCAAUUCGAUAUUCGUAUUCUGAAAUAAAAAGAAUUACGGAAGGUUUUAAAGUUAAAUUAGGUCAAGGAGGUUAUGGUUCUGUGUUUAAAGGAAAGCUUCGCAGUGGUCGGCUAGUGGCAAUAAAAAUGUUGGAUAAAUCCAAAGCAAAUGGGGAAGAUUUCAUCAAUGAAGUUGCUACUAUUGGAAGGAUUCAUCAUAUUAAUGUAGUGCAACUUAUUGGGUUUUGUGUAGAGAGAUCAAAACAAGCUCUUGUAUAUGAUUUUAUGGUGAAUGGGUCUUUGGAUAAAAUUAUAUUUUCAAAGGAGAAUUGCACUUUAAGUUGGCAAAAAUUAUUUGAGGUUGCAUUAGGUGUGGCUCGAGGGAUUGAGUACUUGCACAGGGGUUGUCAAAUGCAAAUUUUGCAUUUUGAUAUCAAGCCGCACAACAUUCUUUUGGAUGAAAACUUUAUCCCUAAAGUUUCUGAUUUUGGUCUUGCAAAAUUAUAUUCAGUGGAUGACAGUAUUAUUUCUCUCACAGCGGCUCGUGGUACAUUAGGAUACAUUACUCCUGAAUUAUUUUACAGAAAUAUUGGAGGCAUCUCAUAUAAAGCCGAUAUUUAUAGUUUUGGAAUGUUAUUAAUGGAAAUGGUGGGAAGAAGAAAGAAUUUGAAUGCAUUUGAUGAUCAUUCUAGUCAAAUCUAUUUUCCGUCAUGGAUUUAUGAUCGAUUUGAACAAAGAGAGAACAUAGAAUUAGGGGAUGUAACAGAAGUUGAUGACAAAAUAGCAAGGAAGAUGAUCAUGGUUGCAUUUUGGUGUAUACAAAUGAAUCCCACUAAUCGUCCUUCAAUGAGCAAAGUUUUGGAAAUGCUCGAAAAUGAACUUGAUCACCUUGAAUUGCCGUCCAGACCUUCACUAUUUUCUCUCGAAAAGUCAAUUGAAGAUCAUGUUAGUAAGAAUGUAUCGGAGGAACCAUCAACGUCAAAAAGUUGUGUGGACCUCUAAGUAUAAUGUUUGAUUUUAUUCGGUCCUUUUAUACAUAUAGUUCUGCAACUGUAAGCUUUUAAUUUGUAGCUUUUCAUGUUCAGUUGUAUAAUAUCCAGCAUCAUGUAAUACAACUAUUAAUGGAUGUGUGUUUUAGACUUUAGCUCCUUAGCUUCAUGUUUCAAUUAUUAAAAAUGUCUCCUUGUCACCGUAUGACGAGUUAAUAUCAAAUUUCGUUUACAAUUAUUUAGUAUAUAAGUAACUCUUAACAUUGCGUGAUCUCAUGAGAAGGUUUUUACUCUCGUAUCGUAAUAUAUAAUCAUGCUGAUAAGAGUAUUUUGUAAUAAUUAUGAGUGUGGUGUGACAGUUGCUCACUUUAUUUUUUAAUCAUGUAGCUCAUAGAAAUGGAACACCUUCCAAUGAUGAAUACCUUAAUUUUGACAAUUAAACAACAGUUAAGAUAGAAUCUUAUCAUUUAUUAGUAGAAUUUAUAUACCAACAGCCAUGCAGCGUUUCAUUUAUGAGUUCAAAUAAAAUCAAGUUUCAACUGAUUCUAGUACUACUAACAAUGAGGCUCGAGAUUGUUCUUAUUCCAUUUCUGAAAUAGUGGGUAGAUCUCUGUUAACCGGCUUCCUAGGUAUGGUGGCACCUAUCGUCUUCGGUGGAUCUAUCGACGCAAAAAGAUUUGGUGGCAUUGUAAGAACGUCAAGCUCUCCCUCUAACAUCUGAACCACCACUUUCAUCGAAGGACGAUCAACGGGAUACCACUGAAUGCACCAAAGUCCAACGAUCAUGAGUUUCUUUGCUAUCCCUGUUUGUGCAUCAUCUUCAAUUCGAAUCCCGAACUCCUCUCCUUUAUCCAAACGAUCAUAUGCCCAUUCUGGGAAAUACACUUGGCUUGUAUUCUCGACCGUAACAUCUAUGUUCUUUCUCCCCCCAACCAUUUCAAGCAACAGCAUUCCAAAACUAUAAACAUCAGACUUAUAUGACACAUUUCCGAAGUUGCGAGACAGUACCUCAGGUGCAAUAUAGCCCAUGGUACCUCUAGCUGUUGUCAUUGAAAUAGCACUUUGUUCCUUGGAACACAAUUUAGCAAGGCCGAAAUCAGAGACCUUAGGAUUGAAGUUGUGAUCAAGCAAAAUAUUGUGAGGUUUGAUGUCGAAAUGGAGGAUACGUUGCUCACAACCUUGAUGCAGGUACUCGAUGCCUUUGGCUACACCGACAGCAAUAUCCUGAAGUUUUUCCCAACUAAGGGAUCGAUCCUUGCCCUUGGCUGCAAAUAUGAACUUCUCUAAUGACUCGUUUGGUAAGUAUUGUUAAAGCAAAUAGAAACUAACACAGAAAGAAAUAAAAGAUCAAGAAGAGAAUUAUUGUUUUUCAUUGCUUUCAAAAUUGAUACGUGCAUGCAUUUAUACAAGUGAAGUCUAACUGACGUAAGCAAAGUAACUGCUAUUUAACUAACACCAGCUUUUAACAAACUAGCUACUUUUUGCAUGCAGUUACAACUGCAUUACUCUUAACAUUCCCCUAGUCAGUCGAUUUCUGAUUUUUAAGUUCAUCAGGCGACAAGACCCUAAGAGCAUAUCGAAACGUAGAAAACAUCUUAGGAGUAAUUGGUUUAGUUAGAACAUCUGCAAUUUGUUGAUCAGAUGGCACAAAAUUGACUUGUAAGUGACCUGCAAGGAUUUUUUCCCUGACAAAAUGGUGAUCGAUUUCAACAUGCUUCAUUCUAGCAUGAUGCGUGGGAUUCUCAGCCACAGAGACUGCAGAGGAAUUGUCGCACCACACAACUGGCACUUUGGAUGGAAAAAUGCCUAUUUCAGCCAACAAUUGUUGAAGCCAUAAGAGCUCAGAAACGCAAUUUGCGAGACUACGAUAUUCUGCUUCAGCAGAAGAUCUUGACACAACUGGCUGCUUCUUUGAACACCAAGCAACAGGAUUUGAGCCUAAGAACACAACAUACCCGGAGGUUGACCGUCGAUCCUCAAUGGAUGAUGCCCAGUCUGCAUCAGAGUAGCAUACUAGUUUGAGUUGACUGGGUGUUAGAAACAAACCAUGAUCUAUGGUACCAGCUAGGUAUCUCAGAACCCGUUUUAGUGCUCUCCAAUGAGCUUCUCUUGGAGCAUUCAUGAACUGGCUGAGUUUAUUGACACUAAACGACAGAUCCGGCCGUGUUAUACACACAUAUUGUAGCAUCCCUACAACACUUCUGUACAAGUGAACAUCUACCAAUGGAGGACUAUCAACUGAAGCGGCUAACUUUGGAUUGCUUACCAUAGGUGUUGGUGUGGGGGUGGCCUCGACUAGCCCAGUUUUUUUAAGUAAGUCAACAAUAUACUUCUUCUGACUGAGUAGAAUUCCCUGUUUAGUGUGCUGAACAUCAAUUCCCAGAAAGAAAUUGAGCUCUCCCAUAUCCUUGAGAGCAAAUUUGCUAUGAAGGUGAAGUAUGACAUCUGCCAUUUCUUGAUCAGAACUACCUGUGAGAACAAUGUCAUCAACAUAGACCAUGAGCAGAAGUUUCUUUCCAUCAGAUUCACGAAUAAACAAGGAGGAGUCAGCCUUGGAUGCUUGAAAACCAAGCUGAUCAACAAGGUACUGUUUAAGAGUUUGGAACCAUGCACGGGGUGCUUGUCGCAGACCAUAGAGAGCUUUGUGCAACUUACAAACGAGCUUCUGACUCGAGGAAUCACAUACUUCAAAACCAGGGGGUUGCUCCAUGUACAACUCUUCAGUCAGUUCUCCAUUGAGAAAGGCAUUAUUAAUGUCAACUUGCCUUAACGACCACCCAUUUAUAACAGCAAGAGCAAGAACCGUGCAAAUAGUGGAGGCUCGAACCACCGGACUAAACGUGUCACGGAAAUCAAAUCCUGCAUGUUGAGAGAAGCCUUUUGCUACCAGCCGAGCUUUGUAUCUGUCCACUGAUCCAUCAGCCUUUUUUCUUUAUCUUAAACAGCCACUUGCAUCCGACUGCCUUCCGAUUACUUGGUAGUGAGCAGAGUGUCCAAGUGUUAUUACGAGUCAAUGCCUGUAAUUCAUCACGAACAGCUGUUUGCCAGUCUGGAGAUGUCAUUGCAGUGUGAAUAUCAGAAGGAACCUCUGCUGAAGAGCAUUGGACUGUACUCAUAAAAACCUUUGGUUUGAAAGUUCCAACUUUACUUCUGGUAACCAUGGGAUGUAUGUUGAGGGAAUUUGAAUGAGAAGCUUGUAAUGUUUGAGGUGUAGGUGACAUUGAUGAGGUGGCUGACGUAGGGGUGAUAGGUGUUAACGUAUGAGGUGAAAGUGAAUUCGGUGAAAUAGUGGGGUUAGGUUGUUAUUGUACAGCUUGAUGGUCAGACAAGGAAAGAGGUGAUGUAGGUGAGGGACUAGGUGGUGUAGGUUGAUUAUGAAAAGAAGUGGUGGUAGGUGGGGUAGCAUGAGAUAUUUGUUUGAGAGGUAGGACCAGAAGUUUUGCACUAGACUGAGACACUGGGUUAGACGAGACAAGUGAUGGAGAAAAAACUUUAUAUGGGAAAAUGUGCUCAUAAAAUGUGACAUGACGUGUUACAUAGAUUUUUCCAGUUGUGUCCUGGCAUUUGUAGCCUUUAUGCAAUGAUGAGUAACCUAGGAACACACAGGGUGAAGACCGAAACUGGAGUUUGACUUUGUUAAAUGAUCUAAGAUUUGGGAAGCACAGGCAACCAAAAAUUCGAAGGAAUGCAUAGUCUGGCUUUGUUUUAAAUAGCUUCUCAUAAGGUGAUAUAUUUCCCAAAGGCUGAGAGGGUAACCUGUUGAUCAGGAAGACUGCGCUGCAAAAAGCUUCAUUUCAAAAUUUUAAAGGCAUGGUAGCAUGAGCAAGCAUGGACAGACCUGUUUCAACCACCUGUCUGUGUUUGCGCUCAACAAGGCCAUUCUGUGCAGAAGUGUAUGGACAAGAGAGACGCUGGACAAUCCCUUGCUGAGCUAGAUAGGGCUUUAAUGCCUGAAACUCUCCACCCCUAUCCGUUUGUAAAACAUGUAGCUUUGCUCCAAGAACUCGUUCAGCUUGACGAUGGAACUGAGGAAAAACAGUAGCAACCUCUGACUUGCUCUUCAAGAAGUAAAGCCAUGUAUAACGAGAAUAGGCAUCAGUGAAGGCAACGUAGUAACAAAAACCAUUAGAGACAAUUGGAGCUGGCCCCCAAACAUCAGCAACGAUCAACUGUAAAGGAGAGCUGUAUGUUGUAGUUGACUUGGAAAAAAGGGAGUUUAUGCUCUUUACCCAUAUGACAAGCAACACACUCAACAAGCUUUUUAUUAUCAGUAAACUGAAUAUUACAAUGUGAAAGAGCUUUUGUAAGAAUAGCACGACAGGGGUGCCCUAGCCGAGAGUGCCAAACAUUUAAAGGGAGCAUUUUGCUAACUGUAAGACAUUGAGCAUGUUUUGAAGACAGUCCACUUUGAGGAAGUUUGUUGAGAUGAAGCCUGUACAAGCCAUGAUGCACAGAACCCUUCAGGAGAACCUCUCUAGUCUGUAAAUCACGGACCUGACACUGAGUGGGAAAAAACUCAAACAUCACCCUGUUAUCUUUAGCAAACUUUGACACAGAUAAAAGAUUUUUAGUAAUACUAGGCACAAGCAACAAGGAUCUCAUAUACAAUGGUCGAGAUCAAGUAAUUAGUGAUGACUGCCCUGUAGACAGAACAGGAAGAGCAGAACCAUUGCCAACAAACACUUUACCUGGUCCUUUGUGUGAGUCACUGUCACUAAGAGAAGUAAUUGAAUUUGUAAGAUGAUGUGUGGCACCUGAGUCUGGGUACCAGGAGUUAUCAGCCACUGUUUCAGGAGUAGCCACAUAAGCCUGAGAUUGUGCUACGCCAGAGGAAGGCAUGCUGACCUGUUGAAAUGGGCUACCAACACACGGGUUAGGCCAGGUAGAUGGAGAGGGAAUUGGAAAACACCAACCUGGUGGAAACCACUGCAUAUUUUGUUGAGGAGGUGAUGACCACGGUAUUGUAGUGGGACUGGAGUUGACCAUACAAACGUUUGCUUGAGGAUGAGGCCGAUAGUUACUACUUUUGUAAGUGGAGUCAAACCGAUGGUAGCAGCGGUCGACUAGAUGCCCAGGCUUUCCACAUAGCUGACAUUGAAUCUUUGAGCCAGAGAAACGCCCUCGACCACGGCCCCGAGAACUAGUUGAUGAUUUGUAAGCAGGUACGGAACUAUUGUCAACAAUAGUUGUUUCUGAAUUCUGAUGAGACACCAUGUUGGCUGAGCUAGAAACAUCAGAGAUCACAACCUGUUGCCGAUUUUCAGUAUCAAGAAGCAUGGACGUGACUCCUUGAACUGUGUAAGGAACUUGACUUGCUGCAACAAUAGAAAUUACAGAUUCAUAUUCAGUAGAAAGACCAUUCAAGAUUGCUGUAACAUGCUCGCGCUCACUGAUAACUUCACCAUAACUAGCCAAAGCAUCACAACAACUCUUAACCUUCAUCAAGAACUCUUUCAUACUCAAGUCACCUUUGCGUUGGGAGUGCAAAGAUCUUCGAUGAAACAUUAAUUUGGAGGUUGUUUGCGUACCAUAUAAAGCAAUAAUAGCAUCCCAGAUUUUAGCACUGGUGUCCAUACCAAUGAGAUGAGGAAGAACAGUUGGAUUAAUCGAAGAUAGCAACCACGAUGCAAGCGCACUGUCUUGCUGUUCAUACCGCUCAAAUUCUGGAUUUUCCCGAAGACCACCAUUGUCACCUGCAAUAAACUGGACAGGAGUUUGCUGUGAGUCCAAGAACCCUUGAAGCUUAUGCGCUUUUAGUGCCAAGAGAACCUGUUGCCUCCACAGCAAAUAGGUAUUAUCAUCAAGAAGAAUACUAAUCUUCUUUGUAGAAAAUAACCUAUUGUCGACUACACCAUCAGCCGCAGCACAAUCCAUGACAACAAAAACAAAAGAGUAGCACAGCGGAUAGACGAGAAAGCUGACCCAGGAGAAGCCUUAAUCUGAUACCAUGUUAAAGCAAAUAGAAACUAACACAGAAAGAAAUAAAAGAUCAAGAAGAGAAUUAUUGUUUUUCAUUGCUUUCAAAACUGAUACGUGCAUGCAUUUAUACAAGUGAAGUCUAACUGACGUAAGCAAAGUAACUGCUAUUUAACUAACACCAGCUUUUAACAAACUAGCUACUUUUUGCAUGCAGUUACAACUGCAUUACUCUUAACAAGUAUUCAUAAACGAGAGCUCGGUCAUAUCCAUCGGCACAAAACCCAACAAGGCGAGUCACAUUCACAUGGUGGAUUCUGCCCAUCGAACCCACCUCGUUGACAAACUCUUCACCAUUUCCCUUGAAAUUAUUGAGUACCUUGACAGCAACUAAAACAUCACUGGAAAGCCUGCCUUUGAAGACAGUUCCAUAGCCUCCUUGUCCCAGUUUGUCCUUGAAAUGAUUAGUUAUCCUUUUAAUAUCAGCAUAGGAGUAUCUUGAGGGUUUAAGCUCUUUAUAAUCUUCCAAAAACUUUUCAAUCUUGACUUGACUUUCUUUCUCCUUUUUGUCUAACCGAUAUCUCCACCCAACUGCAAUGGCAAUGGUUGCAGCAAUUGAAGAACCCAACACAAUACCUGCAAAUCAGCAUACAUCCCUGUGUUAUAUCCUGUCUAAAAUUAUUGAAGCUAAAAGGGAAAUUCCAUUUACCUGCAACCAUUAGCCUUUCUCCCAAACCUGCCAAACAUUUAAAAUUAUUCAGCUUUGAUACAUGGGAAAUCUAAGAAAAGGGCUCACUGUAAGUUUACAACAUUAAGCUUCACUUUGAUGCAGGCUAAUGAUUUUUUUUUAUAGUUAUAAUAGUUAAAACAUACCUAUAUGGUGUUUGGGGAUAUCAAAACACUCGGUUUGUUCCUUGGUGCUAUUAUUGUUGUUCAAUCUACAUCCCCUUCCUUGAGCUUCGCAAUCACCACAGUCUGGUUUAUACCAACGUAAUUGAAAACGGUUACCAUAAGGAGAAAUGGGCGUUGAGAAGUUGCGAAAGUAGCUGCAAUUCAACAGGUUCUCUGGAUAAAUAGGGUCAUAAGAAGCAAAAGCUAUAAUUUGGGAGCCAGGGGUGCUUAAGCAAUCGACUCUGUUUCCUUCAUACAAAGCCUUAUCUUGGCUUGAACAUUCAAACAAGGCAUAGUUGGAUUCAGUUGGCUGGGAUAUAUAAACUUUUAGGCGGCUGAAACCUUGUUGUUCCACCGCGAAUGGAAAGGCAGAAAAAUUGAGAUCUAAAAGCUGCCGCCAGAGGCAACCGCCGGGAAAGUCCAAGUUAAUCCGCUGAGCUUCAUAAUCUAUGUGCUUCACCAACAGCUCCAGCGAACGUGGUAUCUUCAGCAGGGUCUGUUUGUUUUCUGAGCAGGAAAGCUGAAACCCAGGAUGAGGAUAGCCGCAGUGGGGUGACUGCUGGCCUUCUAAACGGAAGGGGAAAUGGACAGGUGGAUCCUGGUGGUUGCACCGCCGCGCCUUGCAGUCGUCUUGGAUUGGCACUGCUUCUGCAACAUCCACAGCUAAGAUAAAGCAGAAUAACGAGUAAAUUAACAUUGUUCUUACUAACUUGUGAGCCCCUGAAGUGAAACGGGCUUUAAAUAAUUUCAUUGACAUAGGUGGUUCAGCCCUUGAGAGUUCCAAUUAUGCACGCAACGCAGCUGCUGCUUUACCAUAUAGCUUUGUCUCGUUUAACAGGGUCUUCAACUCUCCGUCCUCUCUUUGUUCUCUUUUCUGAGUAAAUGUUAGACAUGUUUGAUUGUUAGCAACCCUUUCUAACUUUGUUACUAAUUUUCUUUUAUUCCCGUUAGUUGUAGUAAAAUUUGAGGGAAAAACACUGAACAUGAGAAUGAAUACCGAUUUGCUGUUGUGAUCAUAGUGGGGUCAGCUUGACUGACUCUUGUUUUUCCACCUUCGUUGAAGUUUCCUCUUCCCUUUAUAGUUUUUACUACAUUUUGUUUGGUAUGACUAAGUAGUUGACUGACUUUUAUGGGUUCUUUUUAAUGUCUAUCGUUUUUUUUCUAAUGUAGGUGAUUUUUUUCUCACUUUUUUUUUCUAAUUUAUCUUUUAUUUUUGGAUUUUAAUUCGAAAUCGCAAAACUUGAACCAUCAUAUGUUUUUAAAUUUUAAAUCACUUAUUUUAGAUAGAACAAAUUUUUUAAAAGUGGAUACAAGACAAAAUGACAUAAUUUUUUUAAUAUGAGUAUGGAACAAUUAUAGUCAUUGCUUGUUCUACUCGUCCUAUCUCGAAAUAAUCUUUUACCUUUUUUGUAUAUAAUUAUUAAAAUGAUAAAAAUGUAAUAAUAUAUUAUAGGAAAAAAAUCAUAUGUUUUAUAUUUAUAUUUUUAAAAAAUUAUGUUUAAAUACUUACUCGUCCUAUCUCGAAAUUUCUUGUAGUUAUACUGUCUUUGAGAUGUUUUUAUUCGCGAUUUUGAACUAAUUUUCUAAAUACCUAGGGGAGAUGAACCUUAUGAUGAAUUUUGUCUUUUGAUUUCUGUUUUAUGCAAUGAAUAAUUGAAUCUUAUUCUCAAUUAUGUGUGCUUAAUCCUUGAUUUAAGAUUUUCGAAUUAUUAAUUCAUGUUUGAUGUGCUUAAUUAAGAGUAGAUCUAGCAUAAUUGAGUGGAGUUGCAUGUAAUCCUAGAAAUAGGACGACAUAAAUCUAACGAAUUAGGUAUUCAUAAACGAGAACUCAAUCAUAUCCAUCAGCACAAAACCCAACCAGGCGAGUCACAUUCACAUGGUGGAUUCUACCUAUCGAACCCACCUCAUUGAUGAACUCUUAAUAUUUAACUAAAGUUUGCUUUCUACUUUUUUUUUAUUUCCAUUUUUAAGAAAAUGUUAUUUUAUUAAUUCAAUUAUCUAAAUUAAUAUUAUUUUAUUUAAAUUAUAUUAAUCCUCAUUUAAUUAUUACAAGUAUAUUAUUUUAAAAUUAUAAAAAAUAUUAUUUAAUAAAUUAAACAAAUAAACAUUUAAAAUCACAUACAUUACAUUAAAAACUAAUAUAUCUAAAUAUAUAUUUUACCACUUAUUUUAAUCUUGUUAUUUUUAAUUUCAUCAAAAUUAUAUAUCACUCGAGCCACUGCGACUGCUGACUGGUGAUUAUUGAAAGGUUCUGAAUUAAUACAUCCAAGACUUUUAUGAGCAUCGCCAUUGACUGACCGACGACUUGAAUUAAAGAAUUUUCCACAUUAGCUUUGUUAGUGGACUGAUUUUUCAAAGAAGGACUUGCUCUCAAUUGCAGCCAUAAAAUAAAUGAAUGAUUGGCAUUUUACAUUAAAGAACAUCCCAUUGUUUAUUUCUUCAUCGGAGCUCCACCGGAACUUGAUGAUGUUAAGACCCAGACUUGUCUUGUUUAGCAUCUUUGCCCUUACUUUAUCCCCAGAUGUUUCCGAUGGUAGAGCAGGCAAAAGCAACCACUGCGGCCCAUCUUUGUGUGGACACGUUAAUAUCAGUCACCCUUUCCGACUAAAAGGUCAGCCUCGUCGAUGUGGUGACCGUAGGUUUGAAUUAGAGUGCAAGAGAAACCGCACCAGUUUUCCCAUGAAAUACGGAAACUUUUAUGUCCUAAACAUCUCUUAUGUUGACCGAACGCUUCGACUUGUGGAUGUGAGUCUGGUCGAUGAAAACUGCUCAAUUCCUCGCAGUUCCAUUGUCGAUUCUUCAGACAGCUAUCUAGAACACAUAAUAGCGAAUGGAGCAGACACCAUGUAUCUGGUAAAUUGCACGACAAGUAUGAAGUCUUCUUCAGUUUAUGUCGAUGCUUCUCGUUGCCCAACCAAUAGCUCUUCUUCUCCUUGGACCUACUUCUACUUUCCGGUCUCGUUUUCAAAUAUAUCCGAUUUCGAUCAUUCGUGCAGAUUUAUAGCCCAGUUUCCUGUCAUGCUUUCCAAUAUUAGUGGCUUAUCCCCUUCUUACAUUUACAAAAACCUGUUGGAAGGCGUCGAGGUGUCCUGGUAUCGUUUUUGGCCUUCAAACCCGAUUCUCAAAGUGUAAGAGACUUCGAUCUUUAGAUUCUUUCAAUCUAUAACUUUUCAAGGCCUUAUUUAUUGAUUGGUUGCUUUUUUUUUUCCUGGGGGGGGGGGUAUUCUAGCUUGCUACAGUUGCUACUUCCAAUUGCAGCAUACAUAGUAACCAUUGCGAACUUUCUUCAGCAGGGAAGCAUCAACUAUUAUACUCCUUAUCAUAAAGGUUAAUGUUUCAGAUUUCAUAAGUAUCUGUAUUUAUUGGAUUUGCCCUUGAAUUGCAUUCAAGUUAGUAAUACUAUUGUUGAAUUGGUGUUUUAAACAGCAUCCUUCUUAGUUUGUCUUGCAGUAUCAGGUAAAUCUCUUUCCCCGCCCCACUUUUUUAUGUUAUCUUUAUAAAAUAAUCAUGAAUGCUGAUUUAUCCUUGUGUAUGCCCCUUGAUGGGCAAGCAGCUGGCAUAUUGUUAGCGAGAACUUUGUUGGGGAUAUUCUGCCUCAUUACACUUGUUAUACACAAACUAAGGAGGAGGCAUUUAUCGAUGGAUGAUAAUAUUGAGAACUUUCUUAAAAGUCAAAAUAAUUUAAUACCAAUUCGAUAUUCGUAUUCUGAAAUAAAAAGAAUUACGGAAGGUUUUAAAGUUAAAUUAGGUCAAGGAGGUUAUGGUUCUGUGUUUAAAGGAAAGCUUCGCAGUGGUCGGCUAGUGGCAAUAAAAAUGUUGGAUAAAUUCAAAGCAAAUGGAGAAGAUUUCAUCAAUGAAGUUGCUACUAUUGGAAGGAUUCAUCAUAUUAAUGUAGUGCAACUUAUUGGAUUUUGUGUAGAGAGAUCAAAACAAGCUCUUGUAUAUGAUUUUAUGGUGAAUGGGUCUUUGGAUAAAAUUAUAUUUUCAAAGGAGAAUUGCACUUUAAGUUGGCAAAAAUUAUUUGAGGUUGCACUAGGUGUGGCUCGAGGGAUUGAAUACUUGCACAGGGGUUGUCAAAUGCAAAUUUUGCAUUUUGAUAUCAAGCCGCACAACAUUCUUUUGGACGAAAACUUUAUCCCUAAAGUUUCUGAUUUUGGUCUUGCAAAAUUAUAUUCAGUGGAUGAUAGUAUUAUUUCUCUCACAGCGGCUCGUGGUACAUUAGGAUACAUUGCUCCUGAAUUAUUUUACAGAAAUAUUGGAGGCAUCUCAUAUAAAGCCGAUAUUUAUAGUUUUGGAAUGUUAUUAAUGGAAAUGGUGGGAAGAAGAAAGAAUUUGAAUGCAUUUGAUGAUCAUUCUAGUCAAAUUUAUUUUCCGUCAUGGAUUUAUGAUCGAUUUGAACAAAGAGAGAACAUAGAAUUAGGGGAUGAAACAGAAGUUGAUGACAAAAUAGCAAGGAAGAUGAUAAUGGUUGCAUUUUGGUGCAUACAAAUGAAUCCCACUAAUCGUCCUUCAAUGAGCAAAGUUUUGGAAAUGCUCGAAAAUGAACUUGAUCACCUUGAAUUACCGUCCAGACCUUCACUAUUUUCUCUCGAAAAGUCAAUUGAAGAUCAUGUUAGUAAGAAUGUAUCGGAGGAACCAUCAACGUCAAAAAGUUGUGUGGACCUCUAAGUAUAAUGUUUGAUUUUAUUCGGGCCUUUUAUACAUAUAGUUCUGCAACUGUAAGCUUUUAAUUUGUAGCAUUUCAUGUUCAGUUGUAUAAUAUCCAGCAUCAUGUAAUACAACUAUUAAUGGAUGUGUGUUUUAGACUUUAGCUCCUUAGCUUCAUGUUUCAAUUAUUAAAAAUGUCUCCCAGUCACCAUAUAAUGAGUUAAUAUCAAAUUCGUUUACAAUUAUUUAGUAUAUAAGUGACUCUUAACAUUGGGUGAUCUCAUGAGAAAGUUUUUACUGAUCUCUUAUUGUAAUAUGUAAUCAUGAUAAUUAUGAGUGUGGUGUGGCGGUUGCUCACUUCAUUUUUAAAUCAUUUAGUCAAGAAUUUGAGUUCCGCUCAAAGAAAUGGAACACUUACCAACUAUGAAUACCUUAAUUUUGACAAUUAAACAACAUUUAAGAUAGAAUCUUAUCAUUUAUUAGUAGAAUUUAUAUACCAACAGCCAUGCAGCAUUUCAUUUAUGAGUUCAUAUAAAAUCUUAGCAUUGGUGUAAUAUGAGUGUGCUAAUAGACGAUUUCAAGUUUCAACUGAUUCUAGUACUACUAAUAAUGAGGCUCGAGCUUGUUCUUAUUCCAUUUCUGAAAUAGUGGCUAGAUCUCUGUUAACCGGCUUCCUAGGUAUGGUGGCACCCAUCGUCUUCGUUGGAUCCGUCGACGCAAAAGGAUUUGGUGGCAUUGUAAGAACGUCAAGCUCUCCCUCUAACAUCUGAACCACCACUUUCAUCGAAGGACGAUCAACGGGAUACCACUGAAUGCACCAAAGUCCAACAAUCAUGAGUUUCUUUGCUAUCCCUGUUUGUGCAUCAUCUUCAAUUCGAAUCCCGAACUCCCCUCCUUUAUCCAAACGAUCAUAUGCCCAUUCUGGGAAAUACACUUGGCUUGUGUUCUCGACCGUAACAUCUAUGUUCUUUCUCCCCCCAACCAUUUCAAGCAACAGCAUUCCAAAACUAUAAACAUCAGAUUUAUAUGACACAUUUCCAAAGUUGCGAGACAGUACCUCUGGUGCAAUAUAGCCCAUGGUACCUCUAGCUGUUGUCAUUGAAAUAGCACUUUGUUCCUUGGAACACAAUUUAGCAAGGCCGAAAUCAGAGAUCUUAGGAUUGAAGUUGUGAUCAAGCAAAAUAUUGUGAGGUUUGAUGUCAAAAUGGAGGAUACGUUGCUCGCAACCUUGAUGCAGGUACUCAAUGCCUUUGGCUACACCGACAGCAAUAUCCUGAAGUUUUUCCCAACUCAGGGAUCGAUCCUUGCCCUUGGCUGAAAAUAUGAACUUCUCUAAUGACUCGUUUGGUAGGUAUUCAUAAACGAGAGCUCUGUCAUAUCCAUCGGCACAAAACCCAACCAGGCGAGUCACAUUCACAUGGUGGAUUCUGCCCAUCGAACCCACCUCGUUGAUGAACUCUUCACCAUUUCCCUUGAAAUUAUUGAGCACCUUGACAGCAACUAAAACAUCACUGGAAAGUCUGCCUUUGAAGACAGUUCCAUAGCCUCCUUGUCCCAGUUUGUCCUUGAAAUGAUUAGUUAUCCUUUUAAUAUCAGCAUAGGAGUAUCUUGAGGGUUUAAGCUCUUUAUAAUCUUCCAAAAACUUUUCAAUCUUGACUUGGCUUUCUUUCUCCUUUUUGUCUAACCGAUAUCUCCACCCAACUGCAAUGGCAAUGGUUGCAGCAAUUGAAGAACCCAACACAAUACCUGCAAAUCAGCAUACAUCCCUCUGUUAUAUCCCGUCUUAAAUUAUUGAAGCUAAAAGGGAAAUUUCAUUUACCUGCAAUCAUUAGCCUUUCUCCCAAACCUGCCAAGCAUUUAAAAUUAUUCAGCUUUGAUACAUGGGAAAUCUAAGAAAAGGGCUCACUGUAAGUUUACAACAUUAAGCUUCACGUUGAUGCAGGCUAAUGAAUUUUUUAACGUACGUUGUACAAUUAUAAUAGUUAAAACAUACCUAUAUGGUGCUUGGGGAUAUAAAAACACUCGGUUUGUUCCUUGGUGCUAUUAUUGUUGGUCAAUCUACAUCCCCUUCCUUGAGCUUCGCAAUCACCACAGUCUGGUUUAUACCAACGUAACUGAAAACGGAUACCAUAAGGAGAAAUGGGUGUUGAGAAGUUGCGAAAGUAGCUGCAAUUCAACAGGUUGAGUCCAUAAUAAUUUUCAUCAGAAGCAAAAGCUAUAAUUUAGGAGCCAGGGGUGCUUAAGCAAGCGACUCUAUAUCUUUUAUACAAAGCCUUCUCUUGGCUUAAACAUUCGAACAAGGUAUAGUUGGAUUCAGCUGGUUGGGAUCUAUAAUCUUUUAGGCCGCUGAAACCUGGUUGUUCCUCCGCGAAUGGAAAGGCAGAUAAAUUGAGAUCUAAAAGCUGCUGCCAGAGGCAACGGCCGGGAACGUAGAAGUCAAUCCGUUGAGCUUCAUAAUCUAUGUGCUUCACCAAUAGCUUCAGCGAACGUGGUAUCUUCAGCAGGGUCUGUUUGUUUUCUGAGCAGGAAAGCUGAAACCCAGGAUGAUGAUAGCCGCAGUGGGGAGACUGCUUGCCUUCUAAACGGAAGGGGAAACGGACAGGUGGAUCCUGGUGGUUGCACCGCCGCACCUUGCAGUCGUCUUGGAUUGGCACUGCUUCUGCAACAUUCACAGCUAAGAUAAAGCAGAAUAACGAGUAAAUUAACAUUGUUCUUACUAACUUGUGAGCCCCUGAAGUGAAACGGGCUUUAAAUAGUUUCAUUGACAUAGGUGGUUCAGCCCUUGAGAGUUCCAAUUAUGCACGCAACGCAGCUGCUGCUUUACUACAUAGCUUUGUCUCGUUUAACAGGGUCUUCAACUCUUCGUCCUCUCUUUGUCCUCUUUUAUGAGUAAAUGUUGGACAUGUUUGAUUGUUAGCAACCCUUUCUAACCUUGUUACUAAUUUUCUUUUAUUCCCGUUAGUUGUAGUAAAAUUUGAGGAAAAAACACUGAACAUGAGAAUGAAUACCGAUUUGCUGUUGUGAUCAUAGUGGGGUCAGCUUGACUGACUUUUGUUUUUCCACCUUCGUUUCACUACAUUUUGUUUGGUAUGACUAAGAAGUUGACUGACUUUUAUGGGUUCUUUUUAAUGUCUAUCGUUUCUUUUCUAAUGUAGGUGGUUUUUUUCUCACUUUCCUUUUUCUAAUUUAUCUUUUAUUUUUGGAUUUUAAUUAAAAAUGGCAAAACUCGAAUCAUAUGUUUUUAAAUUACUUAUUUUAGAUACAACAAAUUUUUUAAAAGUGGAUACAGGACAAAAUGAGAUGAUUUUUUUCACAUGAGUAUGAAACAAUUAUAGUCCCUAUCUCGAAAUAAUCUUUUACCUUUCUUUGUAUAUAAUUAUUAAAAUGAUAAAAAUGUAAUAAUAUAUUAUAGGAAAAAAUUCAUAUGUUUUAUAUUUAUAUUUUUAAAAAAUUAUGUUUAAAUGCUUACUUGUCUUAAAAAAAAGUAAAAUUAUUAAAAUAACUAGAAAUAAAAAUUAAAUUAAAGCAGAGCGAAACAAGGUGAGAUGGGAUGGGGAUGAAUGCUUUUAAUAUAUAUGCUGUGAUAGCGAUUUUUCAGAUUAUACAUUCCAAGUGGGGCGAGGCGGGUGGUGGAGUAAAGCAUGUCAACUGUGGAGCGAUGAUGGAUUUGACAACAUUUAACCUGUCUUGCUCCAUUGCAUGAUGCUUAAUAGGGUCUUCUUUUUUUAUUAAAUCAUCACAAUCAAUUUUGUAUUGAUACUGUUCAGAUCAACCAAAUCGAUUCAUUUAAGUAAUAAACCGAAACAAUAAAAUCUGCGGAUUAAAGCCUGUAAUCAAUGUGCACAGUAUCGCCCAAUGAGGUCAAUUGAUCAAAUGGGGCUCUUUUAACCCACUUGAAUUGGCAUGAUUAAUGGAACACAUGGAGAAGCCCAUCCACUUGAAGCAUUGGUGGCUUAGUGAAAUACUUUAGUAAAACUAGAGUUACCAUGGUGAAUAUUUGUAAUCCUAAGGGAUUAGAUUGUAUAGAGCUUAAAUCCCUUCGAACUCUCAUUUGUAGAUAGGUUUUAAUCUUGAUUGUUGAUGUAAUUUAAAUUGAGUUGUUGCAUCAGAGAGAUCUCAACUAUAAAUAAAGGUUUCCCCCUUCAUUUGCAAUCACUCAAUGUUUUUUCACUCAAAGUUACUAAAUAUAAUUGAGAGCAUUUACUCAAACAUACAUUACUUUCUUGUGGUUUCUCUAGUUCUUUCAUUGCUUCUUCACUUUUGUGUUUGCUUCCGCUAAGUUUUGGUGCCUUAGAGAAUUUCCUUGUGAUUUCUUACUUUUUGAGAUUUAGGUGGACUUAGGCGAAUUUAAAGCUAAGUUCUUGCCCAAUGUUGCACAGUUUGCCAGACUAAAGUUCUAGCCUUGUGACAGUUGGUAUCAAGAGCUAGUGAUUGGUAAGGCGUUAAUUGAGAUGGAGAAAGAAGUAAAUAAUCAAGAGCUCGUGACCGUUGGCAUCACGAACUAGUGUUUGGGUAGGAAAGCUAGUAGAUCAAGGGAUAUAUUGUUAGGUUUGGAAGGUUGAGUGACCAACUUCAAGGAAUUCAUGGGUGGCAUGAAGGAAACACUCAAAGUAGUUAAGGGACACACCACAGAGCUGGACUUAGUGAAAGAGUAACUCAAGGGAUAGGUGGCAGAGGCUCUCAGUACUAGUGUGGACGCACUGCAAGGGGUUCUCAAUACCUCUGUGGGUAAGUUGACAAAGAGAGGUGAUACUCUUAAGGACGUGGUGACAAAUUUGAAGGAACAAAUUGAAUAUUUCAAGAAGGAGCUUGUUAUCUGUAAAAUUGCUUUAGGUAAUGACGUGUUGGCUACGAUACCCAAGCCUAAGGUCGAUACCUUCAAGCCGAAAGAAUUUAAGGGGAUGAGAUCCGAAAUAGAUGUGAAUAACUUUUUAUAAGGAAUGGAAUAAAACCUUCGUGCUAGAGGCAUCAAAGAUGCUGCUACUAAGGUAAAUAUUGCAUCUAUUGUAACAGCUCGAUUUAUGGGUCUAGUCAGAGCAGUGGUUUCGGGACCACAAAUCCGAAGUUAAAAUUCUUAUUUUAUUAUUUUAAUAUCUACAGUAUGAUAUUAUUAUUGUGUAAAAAUUUCGUGAAGAAAUUUUAUCAAUUGGGUGCUUAAUUUGAUAAAAAGGACUAAAUCGCGUAAAGUGCGAAAGUUGCAUUCUAUAUGUAAAGGUGUCUAAUAGCUAUAGAAUUUUAAAUUGAAGGUCCUUAUGUGAUAAAUAACCCAUUAUUGAGAUAUUGGAUGUUAUUAGAGUGGCAUUUGGUGUAGUUAUUAGGGUUAUUAAAGGUUAAAUGAGUAAAACGACAUUAUAUGUUAAAUUAAAUAAAACAAAUUGUGUCAUCUUCUUUCACUAUCCAUCUUCACCAAAAUUUCAACCUAAAAUCAGCCAUGGGAGAGCUUGUUAUUCUGCCAAACUUUGAAGACAAAUUGGUGAGUGGUUUUUGCUUGGUUUUUAAUAAUUUCUAUAUUUUUGAUAUCGUUGCUUCGUAAUCUAGCUAACCCGUACCUCCGUUUCUAAAACUGUUAAAGAUUUUUUGAAUUUCCAUUGUUGAAUACUUGAGCUCUUUGAUAUUUUUUGAUGAAAUAUGAAUAUUUUAUGUUAGAUUUUCAUCUUUUAUAAAGUGAUUUUUGAUAAAAAUGUCAAUUAGGGAUUAAAUUGUGAAAUGUGGAAAUUUAGUGGUUAAAAUGUGAAAUAAAUUGAAAAUAUGGGCUGCUAGUGAUAUAUGGAAAAUUCAGCUAGCUUGGAUUUGUGUUUAAUUUCAUAAAAUUGUGAUUUUAUGUUAUAAGGACUAAAUUAUAAAAAUGUGAAAUUAUAGGGGUAAAAGUGUAAAUAUUCUUUAAGGUAAAUUUUGGAUUAAAUUUAAUUGAGAGAUAAUUAAAUAAGCUUAUUUUGAUUAUAUUUAGAUCGAGAAAAGUGAAAUACGGAUCUAGAUUGGGGAAAAGAUAAAGUAUCGGACCAGUCAAUUCGUUCCGUCGUUUUAGCAAUCGAGGUAAGUUCGUGUAAUCAAACUUCAGUGUAUAUUUAGGUAAUUGAUGAAUGAUAGUAUGAAUUUAUUCAUAUAAUCAAUUUAAUUAUGGAGCUUAAAUUAAACGUUCGAUAUAAGUAAAAAUGUAGGAUCAAACACAAUCGUUUCGCAACGAAAGACGAAUUGGCAGAAAAAACCAUGGUUGGACCAUGGCAUUACAUGAUUUCGUAUAAGACCAUAGCUGGGCUAUGACAUCGAUAUAUGAGACUUUGUGUAAGACCAUAUCUAGGAUAUGGCAUCGAUAUAUGUGAUUACGUGUAAGACCAUAUCUGGAACAUUGGCAUCGAUAUAUGAUUCGUGUAAGACCAUAGCUGGGCUAUUGGCACCGAUAUGUGAUAACAUGUAAGACCAUAUGUGGGAUAUGGAAUUGUAUGUGAUAUACGAGACUUUCGAGUAUCCUUAACGAUUAUGAAUGGUUCGUCACGCAAAGUUAAGACAAGAAUGAAAGUUCAAUUGAAUUAAGCAAAACAGGUACGUUCAGAACCUAUGUGAGAGUUAAAUGAAGGUAAUUUAAUGAGAAUUAUUAGUGUAUAAUUAUAUUUUAUGCCAAAAUGUGUUUAUUUGGCUAUAGUGAGGUAUGAAUUGAAUGAUAUGUGUGAUAUGAGCAAUGAUUGUGUUAAUUAUAUGAAUAUGGCACAUUGAGUGAGAAUUACAAUUAUUUAACGAUAAUUUACAUGAUUCUUUCGGCUAAAGAAAUGUGAUGAAUAAUGGAUCAAAUAAAGUUAUACAUUGUUGCUUAUGUAUUUGUAAAUGAGAAUGAAGUGAUAAGAAGUUUAAGAGGCAUACGAGCUUUGAAAGGAAUAAACUCGUGGAAAUCUUGUUUGAUCAUAUGCAUGAAUAUGAGGUAGAAUUGUGAAAUCAAAUGAGUUAUAUUAUGACUUGAUGCAAUUGCUUGUAAUGUGGUUAUUUAGUAAUAAGAGUUAUGAUAUUACAAGCUUACUAAGCUUUAUAGCUUACCUGGUGUUAUUUUUUUAUGUUUUACAGUGUUUGGGACGUUCGCUCGGGUUGGAAGUCGACAGAGAUUGCAUCACACUAUCCAGCUAAUAAUUUCGGUAUUUAUAUACUUUGUGACUUGGUUAUAUGGCAUGUAUAUGCUAUGGUUAUUUUGGUUUACUAUGGAAAGUGUAUUUGGCCAUAUGGUUUGGCUUGUUUUAAGUAUGUAUUUGAUUAUUUUGUAUAGGCUAGUUUUUAAUAUGUUUGGUUUUGAUGAUAUGUAUAUAUUCAGCCAUGCAAAAAUGGCAUGAUUAUAAUGCUAAUGGUUGUGUAAAUUUGAUCAUGGUAUAAGCACAUUUCUGUAAGUAUGUCCCUUGACAUGUAUGAAUGGUGUUCUGGUUAUAUGUCUUGGUUGAGUAAUGAUAUGAAUGACUUAUAAAUAGCUCAUUUAGUAAGCUUGAUACAUGAUUUAAUUUGUAUUUGUGAUUGGUCUUGUGAUUUGGGUUGGAAUGGUUAAGUAGGCAUAUGUGGUAUGCUUGUUUGAGUGAGUUUUUAGGUACAGCUCAUGAUGGAAAUGGUAUGAAUUUUUGGAGGCUAAUUUGAUGAUCAAAUAUAGGAUUAAAUGAUUUAGUUGUGUAUAUGAAAUUUUGGCAUGGUACAUAGUAUAUGAAAUUGGCAUGUUUAAAUUGUAACAGCCCGAUUUUGGGUCUAGUUGGAACAGUGUUUUCGGGACCACAAAUUCGACGAGGAAAAAUGUAAUGGCCUGAAUUUUUAGGGGUGUCGGAACGGUGAUUCGAGAUCACUAAAUCCAAAAAAAUGAGUAGAAAAUAUUAUUAAUUUAGUGAGUAUAAGUAAAUGUGAAGUUAAGAAAAUUUUUGAAAUAGUGAAUAGUGCACUAGAAAUAAAUAUUAAAAUAAUUAGAAUAAAAAAACGAGGUAUCGAGACCUCAGAGAUUUUAAACCGAGCCAUAAAUAUUUUUAUAAAUAUUUAUGGAGUGUUAAAAAGUUAGUAUUAAAUUUUCGUUAAGAAAUUUUAAAGUUUCGAUAAUUAAUUGAACAAAAAUGACUAAAUUGUAACAAAUGCAAAAUUAUAGGAAAUGAUUAAAUAGCUUAAAUGAUAAAAGGAAGAGGGCUUAAAAAGCAAAUAGACCCAAUGUCUGGACGUCAAAGGCAUGAAAUCAACAAGAAAGUAAGGAGAAUUAAGGGCAAAAUUGGAAUACUACAAAAUUACUUAAUAAAGCUAGGAUCAAAGUGGAAUUAUCUAGAUUUCUCUUUAUUUUUCUGCAUUCUCAUCAGCUAAAACACCAUAGAAGGGUUUCCUUAAGUUGGUUUUUCAUAUUUUUACUGCAAGUAAGUUCAAUUCUUGAUUAUUUCUUGAAAUUUUUGUGUUUUUGUGACUUUUACAACUAGGCCCACUUGUUGAAUUCAUUAGUUUUUGAUUCUAUGAAAGAAGUUGAAAGUUGCUAUGAAUAUGUGCUGGAAGUAUAUGAUGAUUUAGCAUGGAAUUAGAGCUUUAAAUUGUUUCUAUGCUGAUUUUAUUGAAAGAAUUGAAUAAAAAGUGAAUAUUUGGGACCUAAUAGUAAAAGAGUUUGAAGUUAGGGUUUUAUGAGGAAAUUCUGAAUUUCAAUAGUUAUGAAUAACUUAUAAUGUCUAAGUAAAGUACUAAUUGAGAAAAAUUAGCUUAAUUGAGGGGUUAAUUAAACAAUGACUGAAUUGUAUGAAUUGUAAAUUUUGAAAUAUAAUAAAUUUUGUGAGACAAGGUCAGAAUGAUUUCGGGUUCCCCUGUUCUGACUUUGGAAAAUCAUCAAAAAUUUAAGAAAAAUAAUUAGGGGCUUAAAUUUAUAUAUUUAAAAUCCUGAAUAAGUCUAUUUUCAAGAGAAACAAACGGAAACAUCAUCCGAAUCCCGUAAGAGGAAAUAAUUAUUUUUUAGUGAAGAAGGGUCGGAACUGUCUAAUAGUGAAACAGGGGAGAAUUUAAAGAAUAAACUGUACUUAUUGGCUAAGCCAAAAAUUCUAAAACUUUUAUGGUAAAAAUAUAUAUGAGUCUAGUUUCUGGGAAAAUUAACGGAUCUUAAUUUGGAGUUUCGUAGCUCAAGAUAUAAAUAAUUUAGUGACUCUGACUCGGAUAGACAGCUUUGAAUUUACUUAUAAGUAAAUAGUGAAAAUGUAGUUAAUGUUAUUUAAGUGUGUUAUAUACAUUAAAGAUGUGAAAUAGAGAGGAGGAGGAGGAAAAUUAGAAAAUAUAUGAAUGACUUGUGUAUAAAUCGGUCAUAUAUUCGAUCAUAAUCGAUAAAUGUUGAAUUAGAAAUGAUGUAAUGUUUUAUUUCAAAUAGUUACUAUGAGAUUGAUGAUGAUCUGACUUUAGCUAAAUUAAAAGCUAAAGCGAUAUUUUCAUUGCAAAAUUAAUAAUUUUAUAAAUGUGUUAAUGAAUAGCAUAAUCGAUAAAUUUGAGUUAAAUGGUAAAUACGUAUUAGUAUUGAACUUAAUGAUAUUGAAUUGUAUGAGAAGUAAAUGGAAAUUUCUAUUGCUAGUGAUAUGAUUUUAAUUAAAAGAAUUAUUGUGAUAUUAAAAUGUAUAUUGGAUUGAGAAAUUGAUUUGAAUUGUGAACAUGAGAAAUUAUGAAUUGAAUGAAAUGGAAAUGAAGCAUUAAAUUGUUAAGACUUGUGAAUUGCAUGAAUAUAAAUCGAGUCUCGUAGGCCCUAUUUAUUAUGAAUAUAAUAUUUAGAGGAUAUAUUGUGAAGAAUUAUAAAAGCAUGUUAAAAAUUUAAAAGUUUUAAUUUAGAUGAAAUUUUAUAAUAUGGUUAAAUACGUUUACAAGUGUAUGUGUUCUAGUAAUGCAUCACACCCUAUUCCGGCGACGGAUACGGGUAAGGGGUGUUGCAUAAAUUCAGUUAUUUUACUUAGAAAAUUACUAAAGUUAGUCGAGUAAGUAGUGUAUGGAUUGGUUAUACUUACAAUUGAGAUUCGAUCAUUUGGGUAAUGCUUGUAGGCAUUUGUAUAAUUUUGCCCAUUUUGCAGCAUAGUAUAGUUCAACUUAAGCUAGUAUGUGCAUGUACAAAGCUCAUAACUAAUAUAUUUGAUAUUAGUUAAUAUUAUGAAUUGAUAUGGCUAGUUGUGGCUUAAAUAUGCACACGUGGGAAAGCUUAUAGAAAGGAUGUAUUGUUGUAAGCUAAGUAUAUGAAAGUGACAUAUGAUUGAUACUUAUUUAGGUAUCUAAAUGCCUUAUUAUAUAGUCAUAAGGUUCGACUAAUAGAAUUAUAAUGUAUAUGUAUUAUGAUAUGAUGUUUUAUAAUAGUAAAAUAUGUUUGGUUAGUUGGUUAAGUGGUACACAUGUAUGAUUGUUAUAGAUUGAUGACCAUAUGGUUUGAAUUUGGUAAUUAUGGAACUAGUUCAAUUUGGUUUUUCGUAAGUUACCUUGAUGAAAAAUUUGAUUUGGUAAUCGGAAUGAAAUUGGUUGAAUUUUGAUAUAUGCUUUAUUUGUGAUAUAUGACUAUUAAAGUAUGAUUGAUUUGGAUUGGCUUUAUGAUUCAUAUGUUCGAAUUUAGUAUAAAUGAUUUGUGGACAUUCAAGUUUAAUAAUGUUAUAAUUGUAUCUUGAUAAUUCGGUACAUGAAAGUAAAAUAUGACUUUGAUGUAUGUUAGUUAAUAUUACUUAUUGUAUGUUUAGAAAUGAAUGACUCUCUGAGCUGUAUUUUGAUUGGUAAUGCCUCGUAACCCUAAUCUAGUGAUGGAUACGAGUUAGGGGUGUUACAUCUAUGUAUUUUAUUGAUGUCGCUCUUUUAUAGUGACAUUGUAGGUCCACAGAUGAGAAACAAGGUGGAGCCACAAUUGGGACUUGGGAGGAGUUUCAAAAAGAAUUCAAGGGGCAAUUUUACCGAGAAUAUGUCGAGGAUGAGGCUCAGGUUAAGUUGCGUCGACUUACGUAACAAGGCAUAAUCAGGGAGUAUAUGAAGGAGUUUAGUGGAUCAUGUUCUAUAUUUUUUAUUUGGGUGAGAAAAAGACAUUUUUCUCCCUUAUGGAUAGGCUGAAACCUUGGGCGGAGCAACAAUUGCAACGUCGAGCAGUCAAAGAACUUAUCAAAGCAAUGAUCGUAGCAAAGUCCUUAAUUAAGUUUGUUCCGAGGAAAGACGAGUUCAAGUCUUCCAAGACCAAUGAGACGGGUAAUGUUGUGGGAGACAAAGAAUGACAUGUUAAAAAUGACAAUGGUGAAAAUGGUGGUAAUGAGAAACUACAAAAUAAGAAGUGAAUCCGGAAGGCCCCUAUAUUAUAGGGAUUAUAUCAAAUUAGUCUCUCUAUAAAUGUACAAUUUAGUCAAAAAGAAUCAAAUAAGCCUUAAUUGUAAUAGAGUGAUCUAUCAAGUAUAGUCACCUUUUCUAAAACCAUUAGUUUGAAGUCAUUUUCAUUCUCUCUUCUUGAUAUGUCUUCUUGUUUUUUUUAAUUAUUUUGAAGGAUUAUCUUCAAUCCCAACCUUUAUUUUUUAAAUGUCUUCUUUUUGGUUAUUAUAAAAAAUCAUCUUCAAUCACAAUCAAAUUGGAAUCUUCAUUCUUUUUAAAAUUUUUGAGGUAACUAAUAGUCCUUAAACUUCUUCAAGCUUUUGUAACACCCCUUAAAUUUUACAGUAUGGUAAACAACACUAUUCUAAGAAUCACUACAAUGAAUUUUUGAGAAAAUUCAAUAAUGAGAAAAUAAAGAGAGUUUUUAGAAGGGACUAUAAUUAUUUAUUUUUGGAAAUCAAUGAAGUAAAUUUGGUAUGUGGAAUUGUGAAAAAAAUGACUAAAUUGUAAAAUUAAGAAAGUAAGAGAACUAAAGUAUAAAGUAACUAAUUUGAGAAAUUAUGGAUUGAUAAUGAUUUGUAAAUAUUAAGCCGACAUGAGACAUGUAUUAUCAAGGAAAAGCAAGUUUGGACUUAAUUGAAUAAAAUGAAAAGUAUAGGGCUCAAAUUACAAACUUCUCAUUUUGACUAGAAUAUAGGUAAAAGUAUCAUUUUCACCAUUUAUGGACUUAUUUAAGGGAUAUAUUUGAAUUUUGAUUUUUUGUUUGGAUAAGUGCUCAUUGUUGUAAAGAAAUUGUACAAAUAAACAAAAAGAAUAAUAUGAUAAGUUUGCCAUAAUCGGAUACUUUAGUCAUUUAUCAAGUACUUUACGAUGGAAAUAUUAUUUUAUUGGUAUUUUUAAUGUAUGGAAUUAAUUUGAAUUUUUAUGAUGAUAUGAGAGAAGAUAUAAAGUGUUAAGUGUCAUAUUUGGUAUUAAUUAAAGAGAAGUGAUAAGAGAAGGGACAAAGGUACAAUUUUACCAUUAAAAAUAUAUUUUGGGACUUAUCAUGAAUAUUUUAAUGAAAUUAUGGACUUUAUUUUAAUUGUGUUAUUAUGAGAAAAUUUAUGGUCAUAUAUUCCGGAUUUUUCAUUCAUGAAUCAAGGUAGAUUACUUGAGGUGAAUCUAGGGAGGCUGGCAGGGGCCCCGACCUCCCCUAAAAUGAAAAAUUGUUGUUUUAGCCUUUUAGAAAAUUUUAAAAUUUUAAAUUAAUAAAUAUAAAAUUGCACUUUUGGUGCCUCCUAAAAUUAUAAAAAUUUAAUUUAAUCCUUUAAAAAUUAUAAAGAUAUAGACUAUUAAAAAUUAAAAUUUCAUUUCGGCUCUCCCUAAUUUUUUUUUUUGGUUUCACCUAUGUAGACUACCCAUUUAAAAAUUUGUUUGACUUUGACUAAUCAAAUUAUGAUUUUUUUCCUCUCAUGUGUCGUCCCUCUCUCCUUAAGAAUUGAAAAUAUAUGUCGAAUAAUAUAAAUAUGAAAAUUGCCUCAACCUACUGCAAUUAUCUAAGGAGUAACCACUUCCUCAAGCACUCAUCUAAUUUUUCUAUAAUUUUCAGUAACUUCAAUAACUUCAAAUAUUUGUUGAGGUUUAGGAUGAAUAUUGUGAAGUGUUUUUUUAGGGAUAAUGAAUACAAAGCAAUUUAUGAGAAAAAAUGGAAUAUUACAACAAACACCUAAAAACAGAAACAAAUGUUGGCUAGAAAAUAUAAAAGUUUAAGCCAAUCGAGUCUUAGCUCGAUUGGUAUAGGUAUGUUGACAAUGCAGGAAGACGUGAGUUCGAGUGCGAUGAAAUGCAUUAUCUUCCUAUUUAUGGGUUGGGAUAGGACUAUGAGUAGUUCUAGAUAUUGUGUCAAAAAGAGCAGAUAUGAUCAGAACUUAUAAUGAGAUUGUUCAAAAAAAAGAAUUUUAUCGGGUGUUAGUAUAAGUGGCAUAAAACCAGUGAAUAGAGUUAACAAUUGAACCUGAAUUUUAAAUUUUAAAAAAUACAAGUACUAAAUUCCUAAAAAUACAAAGACCAAGUUCUUAACUUUCAAAAAGUACAAGGACUAUAACCACAUUUUAACCUUUCAUUAAUUAAAGGUUUGUCAAAGUUGAAGCUUAAUUCAAUGAUCUAUGUUAUAAAAUAUAUCUUAACCCGGCCACCUUAAGCUUUUAUUAUGGUCUAUUAAUUUAUGUUCACGACCACCUUCAACUUUUUUAUGAUCCACUAAUUUACAAUCAUAAACUUAGACUUUCUUACAGUCUAUUGAUUUAUGAUCAUGACCUUUUACUUACGAGAUUUUAUUAAUCUCACGGUCCGCUAAUUUACGAUCAUGACAUUUUACUUACAAGAUUUUAUGAAUCUCGCAAUUAGCUGAUUUACGAUCACAAAAUUUAACUUUCUUAUAAUCCACUAAUUUACAAUCACAACAUUUUACUUACAAUUUGCAAUAGUCAAUAAAUUUUCGAGUUCAAACUUGCUUGGUAAACCCUUAGUUACAUGUAUGCGUGUAAAUUUAUCUCCAAAGACUCAAUUUAUAACUCUACUUCAAUAAGUUAGGAGACAAAUUGUUAUAAAAUAAUCUUAACCUGACCCAAGAUCCAAUUCAAAAUCCAAGCCGGAAGAAACCACCUUAUAUACAUUUCUAAAUACCCUCUUAAGAAUACCGACUCGAGAGAAUAUCUUUUAUCUUCCUCUUCACCCUAACAUAUUUUUUCUCCCUACCCCACCCAACCAGAAACUGUAACAACAAUCUAUAUUGUAAACUGGGAAUAUCAAAUUGCUCUAAUCAUGCAAAUAAGUUGUUAGUUUUAGUUGCCUUAAAACAACUUUUGUACCGAUAUUUAUAAAUUUAUUUAUAUUUUAUCUAUAAUAUACCAACAGAACUUUAUGGUGUUCAAGUAAAAGCACCAAGAAAAAUGCAAUCAAAUGUCUGACCCAACUCCAUCCCCAACCAGUGGUUAAACCAAAUCCUUCAGUUAGCAAUUCCAGAUUCAGACAAAACACACGACUGUGCUACGUCUUUCCUAACUCGACCACAAUCACACUAAUGUUGUCUUUGCUACCCCUAGACAUUGCGAGUUCAACCAACACCGCCGCUGCUUCAGAAGCGCGGUUUUGAUUCAAAACAUCAGCUGUUUUGCUCCUUAUUUGGCCGUUCAGACAUCGCCUUACCACUCGACACGCCACCUCAUUCGAUACCACAUCCCAAAGUCCGUCACUAGCCAGUAUCAGGAACUCGUCACCAUUCGUUACCUCUCGUACGGUCACUUCCGGUUUGCAUAUCACAAAGGGUUUGAGGUACUGAUUACCUGCUUGCAUUCCAUUCCAAAUUACAUUACAUAUGAAUAGAAUAUUAUGUACGUAAUUGCAAAUAUAUUUGGUUACCUAUGGAUCUUGAAGUGGCCAGUACUCCAAGCACUCGAUAUCCAUUCCAGUUUAUGACCCUUCCACCAGCAGCUUCAACUCUCUCCAACUCAUCAGGCCUGUCGGGCUUUGCAAAAACAAAGUGUCAACAUGGGAGGCCACCACCACUACCUGCCCCUUUAUCUUCGUCCUUAAGCUCAGUAUAAUAUGCUAUUGAAUAAUUUUUUUUUUCAUUCCAAUAAAAUCCGUAGGACCAAGUUCUAUACUUAUAAAAGCUGUACAUCGCAAUAAUAACAGUUUGGAAGGAGCGACAAUAGAUAGUAUAUAAACAUAAUGAUUAAGCAUGCAUCAAUAUAGGUCAAAGUAGAGGCAAAGAAAACAAGUGUAAAGAAAAAGGGGGCAAAUUGAAAGAGUUGUAAAGUUAAAUUAGUAUAUAAAUAUAAGCAUCAUCCUUGAUUACCCUAAAGGGAUGGCGAGCUUAAUCCUCUUAUUGCUAAUUAGACAUUAUUUGUGGAAAACGAAGAGCUUCAGUCUAGCUUUGAGAUUCAGAUACUUCCACUCAUUUCCCAUAUAUAUGAAGUUACACCUCCAUCGAAUUGAAGAUUUCAUGGUUUCAUAGUUUCCAAUUAAAUCUUUAAGAAUAUUCAACAGGUUGAGUCCAUAAUAAUUUUCAUCAGAAGCAAAAGCUAUAAUUUGGGAGCCAGGGGUGCUUAAGCAAGCGACUCUAUAUCUUUUAUACAAAGCCUUCUCUUGGCUUAAACAUUCGAACAAGGUAUAGUUGGAUUCAGCUGGUUGGGAUCUAUAAUCUUUUAGGCCGCUGAAACUUGGUUGUUCCUCCGCGAAUGGAAAGGCAGAUAAAUUGAGAUCUAAAAGCUGCUGCCAGAGGCAACGGCCGGGAACGUAGAAGUCAAUCCGUUGAGCUUCAUAAUCUAUGUGCUUCACCAAUAGCUUCAGCGAACGUGGUAUCUUCAGCAGGGUCUGUUUGUUUUCUGAGCAGGAAAGCUGAAACCCAGGAUGAGGAUAGCCGCAGUGGGGAGACUGCUGGCCUUCUAAACGGAAGGGGAAACGGACAGGUGGAUCCUGGUGGUUGCACCGCCGCACCUUGCAGUCGUCUUGGAUUGGCACUGCUUCUGCAACAUUCACAGCUAAGAUAAAGCAGAAUAACGAGUAAAUUAACAUUGUUCUUACUAACUUGUGAGCCCCUGAAGUGAAACGGGCUUUAAAUAGUUUCAUUGACAUAGGUGGUUCAGCCCUUGAGAGUUCCAAUUAUGCACGCAACGCAGCUGCUGCUUUACUACAUAGCUUUGUCUCGUUUAACAGGGUCUUCAACUCUUCGUCCUCUCUUUGUCCUCUUUUAUGAGUAAAUGUUGGACAUGUUUGAUUGUUAGCAACCCUUUCUAACCUUGUUACUAAUUUUCUUUUAUUCCCGUUAGUUGUAGUAAAAUUUGAGGAAAAAACACUGAACAUGAGAAUGACUACCGAUUUGCUGUUGUGAUCAUAGUGGGGUCAGCUUGACUGACUUUUGUUUUUCCACCUUCGUUUCACUACAUUUUGUUUGGUAUGACUAAGAAGUUGACUGACUUUUAUGGGUUCUUUUUAAUGUCUAUCGUUUCCUUUCCAAUGUAGGUGGUUUUUUUAUCACUUUCUUUUUUUUCUAAUUUAUCUUUUAUUUUUGGAUUUUAAUUAAAAAUGGCAAAACUCGAAUCAUAUGUUUUUAAAUUACUUCUUUUAGAUACAACAAAUUUUUUAGAAGUGGAUACAAGACAAUGAGAUGAUUUUUUCCACAUGAGUAUGAAACAAUUAUAGGCAUUGUUUGCUCUACUCACCUUAUCUCGAAAUAAUCUUUUACCUUUCUUUGUAUAUAAUUAUUAAAAUGAUAAAAAUGUAAUAAUAUAUUAUAGGAAAAAUUCAUAUGUUUUAUAUUUAUAUUUUUAAAAAAUUAUGUUUAAAUAUUUUCUUGUCUUAAAAAAAGUAAAAUUAUUAAAAUAACUAGAAAUAAAAAUUAAAUUAAAGUAGAGCGAAGAAAGGUGAGAUGGGAUGGGGAUGAAUGCUUCUAAUAUCUAUGCGGUUAUAGUAAUUUUUCAGAUUAUACAUCCAAAGUGGAGAGAGGUGGGUGGUGGAGUAAAGCAUGUCAACUGUGGAGCGAUGAUGGAUUUGACAACAUUUAACCUGUCUUGCUCCAUUGCAUAAUGCUUAAUAGUAUGCCUUCUUUUUUUAUUAAAUCAUUACAAUCAAUUUUGAAUUGAUACUGUUCAGAUAAACCAAAUAGUUUCAUUUAAGUGAUAAAUCGAAACAAUAAAAUCUGUGGAUCAAAGUCUAUAAUCAAUGUGCAUAGUAUCGCCCAAUUGAUCAAAUAGGACUCUUUUAACCCUUUUAAAUUGGCAUGAGUCAUAGAACACAUGGAGAAGCCCAUCCACUUGAAGCAUUGGUGGCUCAGUGAAAUACUCCGGUAAAACUAGAGUUACCAUGGUGAAUAUUUGUAAUCCUAAGGGAUUAAAUUAUUAACUUAAUUGCAGAAAUACCAAAAUUCAAGAAUAUUUUAGUAAUUUUCUAUUUUCCUCGAAUUUCCACCCAAUCUUGAUCUAAAUUGAUAUUUCAUUCAAUUUAUUAACUUAAAUAAUAAAACAAUUCAUUUCAUGCAAUUUGGUCACUUUUUGACAUUUUUACCAAUUUACCCUUAAAAUAUUAUUUUUAUUCAAUUUAGUCCUUGAACCUAAAACAUGCAAAUUGGUUAUUUUUAAUUAAAACUCAUGCUAGUUGAACAAUCAUUUAUUUUCCUCCUCCUCCUCUCCAUUCCACAUCCUUAAUGUAUAAUAUGCUUAUAUGUAACAUUUCUAUAAUUCCACCAUUUAUUUAUAUAUUAAUUCAAAGCUAUCAACUUGAGUCAUAGUCACUAAAUCAUUUAUAUCUUUAGCUACGGAACUCCGAAUUAAGAUCCGCUAAAUUCCUAUGAAACUAGACUCGUAUAUCUUCUUACCAUAAAAUUUUAAGAAUUUUUGGUUUAGCCAAUAAGUACAGUUUAUUUUUUAAAUUUUUUCCUAUUUCACUGUUUGACAGUUCUGAACCCUCUUGACUAAAAAUUAAUUAUCUCUUUUUACAGAAUUUGGAUGAUAUUUCCGUUUUUUUCUAUUGAAAAUGGAACCAUUAAUUAUUUUAAAAAUAUAAAUUUAAGCCUAUAAUUAUUUUUAUUCAAUUUUUUAUGAUUUUUCAAAUUCAAAAUAGGGGAACCCGAAUUCAUUCUGACCUUGUCUCACAAAAUUUAUUAUAUCUCAUGAUUUACAAUUCCAUUACUUACACCGUUUAUUCUAUGAGAAACUACACUUAAUAAGCUUUAAUUCCAUGUUUUUUUCAUCCUAUAAUUCGAUUUCCAAAAUUUAUGGUGAUUUUUCAAAUUUAACCUACUGCUGCUGUCCAAAACUGUUUUAGUGCAAGAUGUUGAUUACUAAGUUUAUAACUCCCUUAUUCCCUUUCUCUAUAAUAUUUCCCAUCAUUUUCACUUAUUUCCCUUCACUAAUAUAUCAAGAACAUAAGACUUUAUUUAAGAAAACUCUACUAUAACAUCAUUUCCAUACUUUUUCAACAAUAACAAACUUAAAAAUAUAUUGAAAUCUUGAAGUUCUUACCUUGUGCUAUUGAUUUCAAUCUUUAACUUGAUUUUCUCUCUCCUCCAGCUUCUUUUUCUUGAAUCUAACUUGACAUUCUAGCUCCCCAUUGUCUCUUUAUUAUUUUUCUCUCUUGGAAGCUAUGGAAAUUCUUUUGUUUUCUAGGUGAAAAUAGUGAAUUUUUGGUGAAAGGACCAAAUUGUAAAGAAAGAAAAACUUUCUUUCUUCUCUUCUCUUCUAACGUUGGUUGCAUGGAAAGAUGAUGAUUUUUCAUCAUCUUUCCUCCCUUUUAUAUUAAUCAUCUAAUAAUAAAAUAAUACUAAAAAUCUUAAUAAAAUAUUAAUUAAAUAACAUUUAUCUAAUUAAUUAAUUAAAAAUAUCACAAACAUCAUCAUUACCUUCUAGAAUUCUCUCUCUAUUUGACCAUUUUGCCCUUUAUAAUCUUUUGAAAUUUCAUUCUUGAGUCAUCACUUAAUUUGGAAAAGUUACAAUUUAGUCCCUCAAAGUUCCUCACUUUUUCAAUUUGGUCCUAAUUCAUCCAUUUUCCUUAGUUUCUAGAUUAUUCCACCCUUAAAAUAUUUACACUAUUUGUCCUUCAAAUUUUUCAUAUUUACACUUCAACCCCUUAAAUUUUGAGUAUUUACUCUUGGGCAACAAAACUUUUCUCACGUUUGCAAUUUAAUCCUUUAUUGAAUUAAUAUAUCAUAAUAUACUUCCCAAUGUUGACAUAACUCAAUAUUACCUUUUUUAUCACUUUAUUUCCUUAUUUUACUAUAUCAAUGAUAUUAUCUUACUUUAUUACUGUAGUAAAUUUCGGGGUAUUACACAGGGAGUAUAUGAAGGAGUUCAGUGGAUCAUGUUCCAUAUUUUUUAAUUGGGUGAGAAAGAGACAUUUUUCUCCCUUAUAGAUAGGUUGAAACCUUGGGCGAAGCAACAUUUGCAACGUCGAGGGGUCAAAGAUCUUACCAAAGCAAUGAUCGUGGUGGAGUCCUUAAUUAAGCUUGUUCCAAGGAAAGAAAAGUUUGAGUCUUCCAAGACCAAUGAGAUGGGUAUUGUUGUGGGAGACGAAGAAGGACAUGUUAAAAAUGACAAUGGUGAAAAUGGUGGUAAUGAGAAACUGCAUAAUGAGAACUGAAUCUAGGAGGCCCUUGUAUUAUAGGGAUUAGAUCAAAUUAGUCUCUCUAAAAAUGUACAAUAUAGCCAAAAAGAAUCAAAUAAGUCUUAAUUGUAAUAGAGUGAUCUAUACAGUCACCUUUUCUAAAACCAUUAGUUUGAAGUCAUUUAAUUAUUCUGAAGGAUUAUCUUCAAUCCCAACCUUUUUUAUUUUGAAAUGUCUUUUUUUUUGUUAUUAGAAAAUUCAUCUUUAAUCACAAUCAAAUUGGAAUAUUCAUUCUUUUUAAAACUUUGAGGUAAUUAAUAGUCCUUAAACUUCUUCAAGCAUUUGUAACACCCCUUAAAUUUUACAGUAUGGUAAACAACAUUAUUCUAAGAAUCACUACAAUGAAUUUUUGAGAAAAUUCAAUAAUGAGAAAGUAAAGAGAAUUUUUAGAAGGGACUAUAAUUAUUUAUUUUUGGAAAUCAAUGAAGUAAAUUUGGUAUGUGGAAUUGUGAAAAAAAUGACUAAAUUGUAAAAUUAGGAAAGUUUGAGAACUAAAGUAUAAAGUAACUAAUUUGAGAAAUUAUGGAUUGAUAAUGAUUUGUAAAUAUUAAGCCGACAUGAGACAUGUAUUAUCAAGGAAAAGCAAGUUUGGACUUAAUUGAAUAAAAUGAAAAGUAUAGUGCUCAAAUUACAUAUUUCCCAUUUUGACUAGAAUAUAGGUAAAAGUAUCAUUUUCACCAUUUAUGGACUUAAAGGGAUAUAUUUGAAAUUUGCUUUUUUUUUGGAUAAGUGCUCAUUGUUGUGAAGAAAUUGUACAAAUAAACAAAAAGAAUAAUAUGAUAAGUUUGCCAUAAUCGGAUACUUUAGUCAUUUAUCAAGUACUUUAUGUUGGAAGUAUUAUUUUAUUGAUAUUUUUAAUGCAUGGAAUUAAUUUGGAUUUUGAUGAUGAUAUGAGAAGAUAUAAAGCAUUAAGUGUCAUAUUUGGUAUUAAUUAAAGAGAAGUGAUAUAAUAGAAGGGACAAAAGGUACAAUUUUGCCAUUAAAAAUAUAUUUCUUGACUUAUCAUGAAUAUUUUAAUAAAAAUUAUGGACUUUAUUUUAAUUGUGUUAUUAUGAGAAAAUUUAUGGUCAUAUAUUUUAAAUUUUUUGUUCAUGAAACAAAGUGGACUACCAGAGGUGAAUCUAGGGGGGCUGGCAGAGGUCUUGACCUCCCUUAAAAUGGAAAAUUAUUGUUUUGGGCCUUUAGAAAAUUUUAAAAUUUUAAAUUAGUAAAUAUAAAAUUACACUUUUGUCCCCCUAAAAUUAUGAAAAUUUAAUUUAAUCCUUUAAAAAUUAUAAAGAUAUAGACUAUUAAAAACUAAAAUUUCAUUUCGGCUCCCCCUAAAAAUUUUUUUUGGCUUCACCCCUGUGGACUACCCAUUUAAAAAUUUGUUUGACUUUUGACUAAUCAAAUUGUGAUUUUUUUCCUCUCAUGUGCCGUCCCUCUCUCCUUAAGAAUUGAAAAUAUUUGUCGAAUAAUAAUAGAAAUAACAAAUCCUUCUUCGAGAUGUCCAGUGAUUUCUGUGUUCUUUUUUUUUAAUGAGAUAAAGGAAUUAAUCAAGAUGUGUGUGCAAGAAAUUGAAGAAUUUGGAAACAAGUGUAGAAGAAUUUUAGGAACAUUGUGGAGUAUUCAAUGAAAUUCUCAAGAGAAAAGAUAGACAUAUAUUGCCAAUCCAAUAAAAGUAAAAUGAGAUUCCGAAAAUGUUUAAUAAUGAAUCAUUUGUAAAGGAUGAAAGUGAAGUGAGAUUAUCUUGAAGUAGACAUUACGGAGGAAAUAGUACUCAUUAAAGCUAGAAAAAAAAAGUUAAGUGUUGAUCGUUGACACUAAGAAAGUGUAUCACAAAGGAAGUGCGAAGAAGAGAUACAAGUAUUCGAAGAUGGUAAUAAAGACUUACGAGGAUUGGAAAGUGAUAAUUAAUGGAAACCAUAUAAGAGAGGUGAAAUAUAACAUUCUAAAGCUUGACCUAGAAACCUAAUCGAAUUUGGAGUGUUAUUGUGGUCAUCAGAGCAACCUGCAUGAUCAAUCGUUCAUUCAAUCACAUUAAAAUAUAAAAAAAUUAGACAUACACACAACAAGUCAUUUAACAAAACUUAAUCAUAUAAUCAUUGAGUUCCUAAAUCAAAAUCAAAACACCCAAACUGACCAAUUAGCAAAUCCUAAGUACAUGUCAAACUAUACUAUUUCAAGGGUUUUUACAAAAUAAGAAUUGCGGAGACUCUGAGGCGAUGUCUGCUCUGACUCAAACUCACAAACUAUUUGAUCCAAAUAUUACCUAUGCACGGAAUUAAUAACCCGUACAUCGGGCUUUUCAGAGCUUGGUGGAGACCAAAACAGUCUAAACUACUAAUGCAUAUAAUUGAAAAUAAAAACAUUUUAAUCAAAUACAACUAUAUAUAUAUGCAAUAAUUCGAGGAGUGAAAGUCACACUCAAUAAAAAUUGUCAGAGACGCAAUACAAUCAUGAAUCAGUCACAAAAUAACAUUUAUGUAAUAGCCCAAUUUUGACCUUAAUCGGAUAUAGUGGUUUCGAAACCAUGAAUUCGAGUCAGAAAAAUAUUUUUUAUAUUAUUUUUAGUGUUUAUUAUAUUUUAAGUUAUAGGUGUGAAAAAUUCGUGUGGAAAUUUUAUUGUUUAAAGGUUCAAUUUGAUAAAAAAUGAUUUAAUCGCGUAAAAUAAAAAUUUAGAGGUUAAAUUUUAAAAGCACUUAUUUGUUGUUGUCUUUUUAAGUGGGAGGUCUAGAGAUGUAAUUAGACCAAAAUAUAGUUAGUGGAUGACAUAUGACAACAUUGUCCCUUACAUAUAUGUUUUAUAUAUUUAUUAUAAUAAGGUUAAUUAAGUAAUUUAAUAAUUAUAAUGUAUAAAUGUUAAAAUAAACUAAGAAAAGAUGAUUUUUAUCAUCUUUGAAAGCCGAAUGUGUAAGAGAACUCAUGCAUGGUUUCUUGUUGAAUGUUCGGCACUUUUAAAGACAAAUUAAGGUAUGGGUUGGUUUCAGUUUUUGAUAAUUUUUACGUUUUUGAGAUCGUUGUUUCGAAUACUAUCCGACCCAUGUUUGAAUUUUUAAUUUUGAUGAAUAUUUUGAGUUGUGCCAUUGAUGAACAUUUGUGUUAUGUGAUGUUUGAUGAUGAAUAAUGAAAGAUACAUUUUAGAUUAAUAUGUUUUGUAUUGGAAGUUUUGGUGAAAUUGAGUAAUUAGAGUUAAAUUGUGAAAUUAAAUUUUUGAGGGAUUAAAAUGUGAAAUAAAUGAAAUGUGAGGAUUGGUAUGAACAAUAGGUACAUUCGGCCCUUAAGGAGUGUAGUCAAAAUUUGUGUAUUUUGUGUUUUGAGCAAAAAGGAUUAAAUUGUAAAAAGUGUGAAAUGUUAGGGGCAAAAUUGUAAUUUGCCCAUAUAUAUGUUCUUAGACUAAUUGAAUGAAAAAAAAAUGUUUAAAUGAGAUUUUUUUGAAUAUGUUUAGAUCAAGAAACCAAGAAAUCGAAUUUAGAUCGGGGGAAAUCGAAAGUAGUUGAGUAGCCGAUCUAUUAGUCGACGACAUCCGAGGUAAGUUAUUAAGCAUAUAUAUAUAAUUGUGUAUUUUUAAAAUCAGCUUAGUAUUUAUGUAAUUAUGCUGAAUUGAAUGAUAUAUAAAUAUACAUGUAGUGAUAAAAUUAUUGAAAUAAGAUAUAUUGAGUUGUUGACUUUUGACACUAAGUGUGCGAAUUUAAUUGUAAAGCACUAAUUGUGCAAGUUUAAUUGAAAAGCACUAAGUGUGCGAGUUUAAUGGUAAAGCACUAAGUGUGCGAACUUAUUAAAUAUUUUCGAAUAACUAUUAGCAUUGAGUAUUUGUUUUUUUUUUUUUUGAGAAAUUAUGAUUAGUAAAAUGAGUAAAUACUUGGAAUUUUUGUGGUUGUAUUUAAGGUUAAGCUUUGUAGGUAUUAAACCUAUGUGGUGAUUAUAUUUGGAAUUAUAUAUAUAUAUAAUAUGAUUCUUUAUAUUACAUGGUGAGGAACUGCAUAAUGUAUUUGGUCUUGUGAUUAAAUUUGAAGAAAUGUUUAUGGUUAUGUAAUUAUAUUGAUUUAGUUAAAUCAUAGUAAUAAGUGAAUAAUUAUCUUAUGAUAUGGUAAGCUAAAGGUAAGAUGAUUUAGUAGUAUGAAUUGGUUGAAUAUUAUUUAAGAUAUCGGUUUAAAUAGUAGAGUUUAUUUGCUUAUAACUUACUAAGCUAAAUUAGCUUACAAUGUGUUGGAUAAUUGUUUUUUUUUUAUGUAUAGAUUUUGGUGAUUGCUACGUGUUCGGGGAUCGUCAGCUAAGUUCGUCACACUAUCGAUAUUUUCUUUUGGUACUUUACUAAAUCGUUUUCAAAUAUAUGGCAUGUAUAGCAUAGUUAAAAUAUUGAAUUUGGAACUAAUGUGUAUAUGUAUUUAAAAGCCAUGCGAAAGAGGCUUAUAUAUAUUUUUUUUUUUGGACUUGAAUUUGGUUUGGAUGCAUGUGUUUAAUGAUUAUGAGUGUGGUAUAUGCUUAUGGUAUUAUUAUAUGGAGGGAUUAUUUGUUCUUGGUAUAUAUAUAUAUUGGGCUACAAUGGAAUUAAUGAAUAGUUAAUUAAAGUUAGUUGCAAGAUGUGUACACGUAUGGUUGUGUAAAAAAAUGUGGAUUUCUAACUUAAAAAUGUGUGAGAGUAGAUAUUAAUAAGCAUGCUAUAUAUAUAUAUAUAUAUAUUCAUAUAUGUGCAUGGUAUGUUUGAUUUUGGUAUGUUAAGGGUUUGGCAUUGUAUAUAGGUAAUGACUUAAAAUAAGUCUAGUUCAUGACUAGCUGCUUAUUAAAUUAUGUUUAUAAUAAUUCGGUCUUAACUUAGCUCUGCUUUGAAAUUAUGUGAUAUGAUUUGAAUGGUUAUGUUUAAUUUGAUUUUAUAUGUGACUAUAAGAUUCGGCCAUGAUGUAAUAUUAUUAUGUAUGUAUGUAUAUAUAUAUAUAUAUUCAUUUGAUUAGUAAUAGAUAUACUUAUUAAUGCCGCAUAUGAAAUAGAGGAUAGGUUUUGUAACAUAUUUUGUUUAGUCCAUUAAGUACAUGUUUAUUAAUAAGCAUAAAGAUGAUAAAAAAAAUCAUUAUAUAUAUUUUUUAUACCAUUUUAAUGAUAAACACACGAUUCGUGUAUUUAUUUUGAAGCAUAAGUUGUAUGGAUUUAAGGCAUGAUUUUUUUUAAGGUGUAAAUAUGAUUAUAUUCAUGAGAUACUAUAUUUGUUUUGUGAUUAAUAAUGUAUGUAUAAUUUGUAAUUAGUCUCUUUUUUUUCAGUAAUACCUCAUAACCCUAAUCUGGCGACGGACACGGGUUAGGCGUGUUACAAUUUAAAAUAACAAUAAAACAAUAUAAGACAUUCAAUAAAUAUCGAUGGUGUUUUGAUUCAAUGUUCAAGUUCAUUAAAUAAUUUUUCUCAAAUAACACAAGAAGGAAAGAUAUUCGAACACACGAGUGUCCAACCAAACACCAAAUGAUCAAUGAAAUUAGUGCAAGUGCCAACAAUAACAAUAUUCCAUUGGGAGAUAAUGCAACUUAGUCUAUAAUCAACCAUCACACUAAAUGCACAAAACGCAACAAUGACAAUGCUCCUGAAUGCUUAAGACAGUUCCACAAUAAACAAUGAUGGAGAUUCCUCCACCUUACGAGAUGUGGCUUAUACCAAAACAUUUCAAUUAUUAAAAUAGUAAUUAACAAUGAUUUUCGGAACAUAACCAAUUAAUAAAAAUAACAUUUUAAAAAUAGUAACCAUAAUUAAAAUCAAUUUAAUAAACUGCCACACAAGUAAAAAUUCAUAUGCAAGGAAUCAAAAUAUCAGUCCACUAAGCCAAUAAUUUAAUUGCAACAUUAACAUAAUUUAAAACGUAACGAUUACAAACUAAUUUUUUAAAUGUUGGUUGCUUAGGAUCACAUGCACUAUAAACGUAAGGACCACCGUUGAAAGCCAUGCAAAAAUCUACAAUUUUAUAUUUAUAUGUGUAUAUAUACACAUAUACAUAUACACGUAAACACUAUAAAUCAUGCCAACCAUUAACAAAGCCAUGCAAAUAUUUAUAUUUAUAUAUUUCAUAUAUUUAUACAUUCACAUGCACAUAACUAAAUACGACAUCAUGCAAAUAUAGUUAUGUACAGAAUAUUGAUAUAUUAUCUCAUUAAUUUUAAAAAUAAACAACACCAAAAGACCAAGCUUUACACUACUCACACGACAUAACAUUGGUUUCACGAAUCCUCAAAGCACUACUCCCUCUGGGCUUUCUACGAUUUAACAGCAACCUGCUUUGUCUUUAUUUGGUUGUGGCUUCUAUGCAGAUUAGACGAGAGGCUUCAAUGGAUGAUAUAAAAGAGGUGGUGUUGGUCAGUGGUGGGCAGAGGUGGCCUGAUGUCGGUGCAAGGAGAUCAACGGUUAGGACCAGGGUGACUGUGGAGCGAUGAGAUGUUGGGGCGACGGAAGAACUCACGAUGGCGAUGAGAGGGCGGACAAUGGUGCAUUGAUGGAGAUGACUCCAAGGCAGCGUGAUGAAAGGGAGGGACGACUUGGGGCAGUUGGCUGACGGUGUGGCGACUAAGAGGAUCGGUGCUUAGUGAUGGAAUGAAGGAGACAAUGCCUGACGUUGGGGAGUGAAAGGUGGUAAUCAGUCUUUUAUUAGGGGUAGAAUUCUACAAAAGAAGGGUUUUGAUAGUAGGAAAGUUUGACCAAAUGUGUAUUCUUUCUUAGUUGUAACUCUGAAACCUAAUUGAUGAUGAUGAUGAUGAUGAUGAUAGAGCACACACGCCCAGGCCACCACUCUGUCAACUAAGUUGUUUAAGGGCUAAUUCCAAUAUUUGUCCCCAAUUAAUUGCUGAGGUUUCAAUUUAAUCCAUAAAUCAAGAUCAAAAUUCAAUUAGUCUUAAAAUUAAACUAAAAAAUCAAAUAAGUUCAUAAUACACAAAAAAUCACUAAAAAUAUAAAUUUUAUCCUAAUGUUCCAAAAUUCCGAAAAUAUAUUUAUCGAACUUAUCUCGAUUUUGUGUGAAAUCAUAGUUGGAAAUUUUGGAGUGUUUCACGAAAUUAUCCAUCAAAGUGCCUUAAGAAGUAGUAGUCGAGUAGUGCGUUGUUAAAAGUUCCUAGAAAGAUGUUAACAUUGGAUAUUAAAUGAGCAUCGUGGAUGGAAAAGAGGACAUCAAAAUACGAGUAUAGAGAUUUGUAGCUUGCUACCAGAGGCAAAGCUAGUUGCUGGUAGGGCUUGACCUCCCUUUAAAUGGAAUAAUUUCAUUUAUACUCUUAUAUAGUUUAUAAAAUUUUAAAUUAGUAAUAAAAAAAUUUAUACUUUGACCUCCUUUAAAAAUUAUAAAGAUAUUAUAAAAAUAUAUAAUUUAAUUUCACCCCUAAAACAAAUUUUUGGUUUCCCGGAUUAUAGAAAAGCUAUAAUCGUGUUAUGAAGUGAUAAUGGGUAAAUAAGUAUAAGAGAAAUGAGUUGAAAAGUAGGAAGAGAGAAGUAUGUAUUUGGUAUUGAGAUCAUAUGAGUUGGGAAGUUAAAUCGUGGGUUGACGUGAACGGAUAAGGCACGCAUUGGAUGUGUGGGAAGAGAUUUAAGUCAAGAAGAAAAGUGACAGUAAUUUGAAGUAAACAAUGAAGGUUAUGCACAUGCUCAAAAGGAAAAGUUAUGAUCAUUUGAUGGGGAUGAGUCAAGAUAAGAUAGCCAAUUAAAGGUGCAAAAUUAACCCAAGUUGAGAUGAAUAUGGUGAAUAUAAGCUUGUUAACCCAAGUUGAGUGACAUGUCAAGUUAUAACAAUCAAGUGAAAAUGAUUGAUGUGGUAUAUUAAAAUUAUAUGUUAGUGACAUAUAUGGUAUGGAAGACAUUAGAAGAUAAGAAACUUAUGAUUCGUGCUAAGGUUAAGAUUUAUAGAUAUUUGAUGAAUCAAAGGACAUCUUGUGCAAUGUGAAAGAUAAAGAGGGAAAUUUAUUUAGGGUUCAACAUUUAAGUGAAGCAAAUUAUAAGGUUGUGAAAACCGUUAAAAGGAUAAAAUGUAAAUUUUAGAAUAUAAAAAAAUUAAAUUGAAUUAAUGGAAAAAAAAAUGACAAAGAGGUAAUUUUUACUUAAUUUACUUUACUGAAAGUAAAUGGAUAAUUAUGGAAUUAGAGAAUAAAGAAAAUUGGGGAAAAAAGAAGGAGGAGGAGGAGAAGUGUUGUCAUGAUUAUGACCCUUGGAUAUUAUGGAAGAGGUGAAGAAAUAAUUGCAAUUGGAUAUUAAUUAUGAUGAUGGGAUUUUUAUUAAUGUUUUAAUUAUAUUAAUUGCUAUAUGGCCGUGUGUCAAGCCAUGUGGCUCAAAUGAACGUGUGGAAGAGGUCAGUCUAUGUGGCUCCUGUACUUGUUCUGAUUUUCGAUUCUUGAUAAGUGUCAAAAGUAACAUAUUUUAAUCUCAUUCUUAAUUCAUUUUUAGAUGAUUAAUCAAUGCAAAACGGUAAAAUUUAUGCUCAUAAUCCUUUAAAUUCAUAUUUCUAUACUUAUAAGAGCAUUUGAGAGAAAAAUUAGUGAAAACGAAGCGAAAAUCAAAAAAUUGGAGCAGAUUUCAAGAGCCACACGAGUUGGACACAUGGUCAUGUGAGCCACACGGGCUGCCACACGGCCAUGUGCCAGAUAGAGACACAUGGUCAUGUGAGCCACACGCCAUGUGCCAGAUAGAGGUGCUCAUGGGCCGGGCCCGGCCGGGUUCGGGCCGGGCCCAUAAAAAAUUUCGGCCCGGGUCCUAGGCCCGGCCCGACCCGGCCCGAAAUAUGGGCCUAAGAUUUUGCCCAGGCCCGGCCCGGGAAAAAAAUCAUAAGCCCGGGCCCGGCCCGUCCCAUUUUUAUUUUAAAAAUUUUAAAAAAAUUAAAAAAAGUAUUUUAAAAAUAUUUUAAAAUUAAAAAAAAAUUAAAAAAGUAUUUUGAAAAUAUUUUAAAAUUAAAAAAUUUUUAAAAAGUAUUUUAAAAAUAUUUUAAAAUUAAAAAAGUAUGUAAAAAAUAUUUUAAAAUAAAAAAAAAUAUUUAUUAUAUCGGGCAGGGCCGGGCCCGGGCCGAAAAAGUGGUGCCCGAGGCCCGGCCCAUUUUCUAAACGGGCCUCGUUUUUUUGCCCAAGCCCAUAUUUCGGGCCUAUAUUUUUACCCAAAUCCUCUCAUAUUUCGGGCGGGCCGUCGGGCCGAGCCGGGCCACCCGGCCCAUGAGCACCUCUAGUGCCAGACCGUGUGGAUUUCGCAUUUCACACUCCAAAUAUGUGGAAUCACGCAAUUUUUAAGUUUUUCGGGCAUUCUUAGACCUAUAUAUACCAAAUAUAUGGAGAGAAGUAAGAGCCGUCAGAGAAUAUUGAAGAAAACAACUCAAAAGACAUCAUUGAAGUCGACUUUGAAACAAAUUUCUACUAAGAUUGAAGAUCUCCUUUUGAUUUCUUUGAAGUUUAUUAUGAGUUUUUUUAUUUCUUGUGGUUAUACUGUCUUUGAGAUGUUUUUACUCUCGAUUAUGAACUAAUUUUCUAAAGAUGAACCUUAUGACAAAUUUUGUCUUUUGACUUCUAUUUUAUGCAAUGAAUAAUUAAAUCUUGUUCUCAGUUAUGUGUGCUAAAUUUUUUAUUUAAUAUUUUCAAAUUAUUAAUUCAUGUUUGAUAUGCUUAAUUCAGAGUAGAUCUAGCAUAAUUCAAUGGAGUUGCAUGUAAUCCUAGAAAUAGGACAACAUAAAUCUACCCUGUUAGAGUCAAAUCUAAUAGAAGAAUUCAUAAAUCGAGUCGGUACGAUAAUAGGGAUUUCAAUUAAUCCGUAAAUAUCCCAAAAUAAUAUUCGACUUAUACGAUACAUUUCUAAAGUUGCGAAAGAGUACCUUGGGUGCAAUAUGGCCCAUGGUACCUCUAACUGUUGUCAUUGAAAUAGCAUUUUGUUCCUUGGAACACAAUUUAGCAAGGCCUGAAUGGAGGAUACGUUACUAGCCUUGAUGCAGGUACUCGAUGCCUUUGGUUACACCGACAAUAAUAUCCUGAAGUUUUUCCCAACUAAGGGAUCGAUCCGUACCCUUAGCUUGCAAAUAUGAACUUCUUUAAUGACUCGUUUGGUAGGUAUUCAUAAAUGAGAACUCAGUCAUAUCCAUCGACACAAAACUCAACCAGGCAUGUCACAUUCACAUGGUGGAUUCUGCCCAUCGAACCCACCUCAUUGAUGAACUCUCAAUAUUUAACUAAAGUUUGCUUUUUUACUUUUUUUUUUAUUUUCAUUUUUAAGAAAAUGUUAUUUUAUUAAUUCAAUUAUCAAAAUUAUUAUUAUUUUAUUUAAAUUAGAUUAAUCCUCAUUUAAUUAUUACAAGUAUAUUAUUUUAAAAUUAUAAAAAUUAUUAUUUAAUAAUUAAACAAAUAAACAUUUAAAAUCACAUACAUUACAUUAAAAACUAGUAUAUCUAAAUAUAUAUUUUACCACUUAUUUUAAUCUUGUUAUUUUUAAUUUCAUCAAAAUUAUUAUAUAUCACUCGAGCCACUGCGACUGCUGACCGGUGAUUAUUGCCUGCAUAAUUUGAUGAAAGGUUCUGAAUUAAUACAUCCAAGACUUUUAUGAGCAUCGCCAUUGACUGACCGACGACUUGUAUGAAAGAAUUUUCCACGUACGUUAGCUUUAUUACUGGACUGAUUUUUCAAAGAAAGACUUGCUCUCAAUUGGAGCCAUAAAACAAAUGAAUGAUUGGCAUUUUACAUUAAAGAGCAUCCCAUUGUUUAUUUCUUCAUCGGAGCUCCACCGGAACUUGAUGAUGUUAAGACCCAGACUUUUCUUGUUUAGCAUCUUUGCCCUUACUUUAUCUCUAUCCCCAGAUGUUUCCGAUGGUAGAGCAGGCAAAAGCAACCACUGUGGCCCAUCUUUGUGUGGACACGUUAAUAUCAGACACCCUUUCCGACUAAAAGGUCAGCCUCGUCGAUGUGGUGACCGUAGGUAUGAAUUAGAAUGCAAGAGAAACCGCACCAGUUUUCCCAUGAAAUACGGAAACUUUUAUGUCCUAAACAUCUCUUAUGUUGACCGAACGCUUCGACUUGUGGAUGUGAGUCUGGUCGAUGAAAACUGCUCAAUUCCUCGCAGUUCCAUUGUCUAUUAUCCAUACAGCUAUCAAGAAGACAUAAAUUAUGGAAGACACACCAUGUAUCUGGUAAAUUGCACGACAAGGAUGAAGUCUUCUUCAGUUUAUGUCGAUGCUUCUCGUUGCCCAACCAAUAGCUCUUCUUCUCCUUGGACCUACUUCUACUUUCCAGUCUCGUUUUCAAAUAUAUCCGAUUUCCAUCAUUCGUGUAGAUUUAUAGCCCAGUUUCCUGUCAUGCUUUCCAAUAUUAGUGGCUUAUCCCCUUCUUACAUUUACAAAAACCUGUUGGAAGGCGUCGAGGUGUCCUGGUAUAGACCCUUUAGUUUUUGGCCUUCAAACCCGGUUCUCAAAGUGUAAGAGACUUCGAUCUUUAGAUUCUUUCAAUCUAUAACUUUUCAAGGCCUUAUUUAUUGAUUGGUUGCUUUUUUUUUCCUUGGGGGGGGGGGGGGUUAUUCUAGCUUGCUACAGUUGGUGAUCUAUUCACUACGUCCAAUUUUAGCAUACAUAGUAAGCAAUGUGGCCUUUCUUCUACCGGGAAUCAUCGGCCAUUAUCCUUUUGGGAAAGGUUAAUCUUUCAGAUUUCAUAAGUAUCUUUAUUUAUUGGAUUUGCCCUUGAAUUGUAUUCGAGUUAGUAAUAUUAUUGUUCAAUUUGCGUUUUAAACAGGAGCCACCUUCGUUUGUCUUGCAGUAUCAGGUAAAUCUCUUUCCCUUCCCACUUUUUAUGUUAUCUUUAUAAAAUAAUCAUGAAUGCUGAUUUAUCCAUGUGUAUGCACCUUGAUGGGCAAGCAGGCAUAUUGUUAGCGAGAACUUUGUUGGGGAUAUUCUGCCUCAUUACACUUGUCAUAUGCAAACUAAAGAGGAGGCAUUUGUCGAUGGAUGAUGAUAUCGAAAACUUUCUUCAAAGUCAAAAUAAUUUAAUACCUAUUCGAUAUUCGUAUUCUGAAAUAAAAAGAAUUACGGAAGGUUUUAAAGUUAAAUUAGGUCAAGGUGGUUAUGGUUCUGUGUUUAAAGGAAAGCUUCGCAGUGGUCGGCUAGUGGCAAUAAAAAUGUUAGAUAAAUCCAAAGCAAAUGGAGAAGAUUUCAUCAAUGAAGUUGCUACUAUUGGAAGAAUUCAUCAUAUUAAUGUAGUGCAACUUAUUGGGUUUUGUGUAGAGAGAUCAAAACAAGCUCUUGUAUAUGAUUUUAUGGUGAAUGGGUCUCUGGAUAAAAUUAUAUUUUCAAAGGAGAAUUGCACUUUAAGUUGGCAAAAAUUAUUUGAUGUUGCACUUGGUGUGGCUCGAGGAAUUGAAUACUUGCACCGGGGUUGUCAAAUGCAAAUUUUGCAUUUUGAUAUCAAGCCGCACAACAUUCUUUUGGAUGAAAACUUUAUCCCUAAAGUUUCUGAUUUUGGUCUUGCAAAAUUAUAUUCAGUGGAUGACAGUAUUAUUUCUCUCACAGCGGCUCGUGGUACAUUAGGAUACAUUGCUCCUGAAUUAUUUUACAGAAAUAUUGGAGGCAUCUCAUAUAAAGCCGAUAUUUAUAGUUUUGGAAUGUUAUUAAUGGAAAUGGUGGGAAGAAGAAAGAAUUUGAAUGCAUUUGAUGAUCAUUCUAGUCAAAUUUAUUUUCCGUCAUGGAUUUAUGAUCGAUUUGAACAAAGAGAGAACAUAGAAUUAGGGGAUGUAACAGAAGUUGAUGACAAAAUAGCAAGGAAGAUGAUAAUGGUUGCAUUUUGGUGCAUACAAAUGAAUCCCACUAAUCGUCCUUCAAUGAGCAAAGUUUUGGAAAUGCUCGAAAAUGAACAUGAUCAACUUGAAUUGCCGUCCAGACCUUCACUAUUUUCUCUCGAAAAGUCGACUGAAGAUCAUGUUUGUAAGAAUGUAUCGGAGGAACCAUCAACGUCAAAAAGUUGUGUGGACAUCUAAGUAUAAUGUUUGAUUUUAUUCGGACCUUUUAUACAUAUAGUUCUGCAAGUACUGUAAGCUUUUAAUUUGUAGCAUUUCAUGCUCAGUUGUAUAAUAUCCAGCAUCAUGUAAUACGACUAUUAAUGGAUGUGUGUUUUAGACUUUAGCUCCUUAGCUUCAUGUUUCAAUUAUUAAAAAUGUCUCCUUUUCACCAUAUAAUGAGUUAAUAUCAAAUUCGUUAACAAUUAUUUAGUAUGUAAGUGACUCUUAACAUUGCGUGAUCUCAUGAGAAAGUUUUUACUCUCUUAUCGUAAUAUGUAAUCAUGCUGAUAAAAGUAACUUGUAAUAAUUAUGAGUGUGGUGUGGCGGUUGCUCACUUUAUUUUUUAAUCAUGUAGUCAGGGUUUGAGUUCCGCUCAUAGAAAUGGAAUACCUUCCAACGAUGAAUAUCUUAAUUUUGACAAUUAAACAACAUUUAAGAUAGAAUCUUUUCAUUUAUUAGUAGAAUUUAUAUACUAACAGCCAUGCAGCAUUUCAUUUAUGAGUUCAAAUAAAAUCUUAGCAUUGGUGUAAUAUGAGUGUGCUAAUAGGUGAUUUCAAGUUUCAACUGAUUCUAGUACUACUAACAAUGAGGCUCGAGACUGUUCUUAUUCCAUUUCUGAAAUAGUGGGUAGAUCUCUGUUAACCGGCUUCCUAGGUAUGGUGGCACCCAUCGUCUUCGGUGGAUCUGUUGACACAAAAGGAUUUGGGGGCAUUGUAAGAACGUCAAGCUCUCCCUCUAACAUCUGAACCACCACUUUCAUCGAAGGACGAUCAACGGGAUACCACUGAAUGCACCAAAGUCCAACGAUCAUGAGUUUCUUUUCUAUCCCUGUUUGUGCAUCAUCUUCAAUUCGAAUCCCGAACUCCUCUCCUUUAUCCAAACGAUCAUAUGCCCAUUCUGGGAAAUACACUUGGCUUGUAUUCUCGACCAUAACAUCUAUGUUCUUUCUCCCCCCAACCAUUUCAAGCAACAGCAUUCCAAAACUAUAAACAUCAGACUUAUAUGACACAUUUCUGAAGUUGCGAGACAGUACCUCUGGUGCAAUAUAGCCCAUGGUACCUCUUGUUGGCACAUAAUUAAAUUAACCUUGCACAAAUAAAUUAUGAAAAGUUAGAAGAGUGAAGAGACUUGAAUAUGAAUAGUGAAGAGACUUGAAGAUGAAAAGUUAAGAGUCUUGAAUAUGAAAGGAUACACACAUGCAUGAAUAGUCACAACUCCUAGCAUAUAGUGAUUUAGAUGAAUAGUCACUUACAACUCCUAUAUAAAGAGUUGUAUGUAAUGAAGAAUAAUUAACUUGUGUGCUUGAAAUAAAAGCUUAUUUGAAAGAAUUUUUCCAUACAAAAUUUAUUUCUCUUCUCCAUUAUAUUCUUUAUCAUUUUCUUUGUUUUAUUUCUCCAAAUAUUAAUUAUUCAACUACAAAUUGGUAUCAGAGCCUUGUUCGAUCGAAAUGAACAAUUCUAUUCCUCUUUCUUCCGUUCCCCAAUUAACCAAAGAAAAUUAUGGCAAAUGGAGUAUCCAAAUGAAGGCUCUUCUUGGAUCUCUAGAAGUUUGGGAGAUUGUUGAAAAAGGUUAUAAUGAAGUUGAGGCUGAAGAGGAGGAAGGAUUAUCACAAGUUCAAAAAGAGGGUUUAAGAAAAUCAAGGAAAAAAAAUAAACAAGCCUUAUUUUGGAUAUAUCAAGGAGUUCAAUCAAAUGAAGCAGCAUGGGAAAAAAUAGCUUGUGCCACCACGGCAAAACAAGCAUGGGAGGUUUUACAAAAUUCUUUCAAAGGAGAUGAAAAGGUGAAAAGAGUUCGGUUGCAAACUCUUCGAGGGGAGUUUGAAAGAUUGCAAAAAAUAGAGUCGGAAUCAGUUUUUGAUUACUGUUCACGAGUUUUGUCCAUAGUCAACCAAUUGAAAAGAAAUGGUGAAACUAUGGAUGAUAGUCGUGGUGUUGAAAAAAUCCUCCGUUCUUUGGAUUCUAGAUUUGAUUACAUUGUGGUAGCCAUUGAAGAAUCAAAGGACUUGAGUACCAUGACUAUUGAUGAACUCACAGGUUCGUUGCAAGCCCAUGAAGAAAGAUUAAACAAGAAGAAGAAGGAAGUAGAUCUAGAUCAAGCACUCCAGUCAAAGUUGUCUCUAAAUGAGAAGAAAGGAGAAUUUAAAAAUCAAAGAGGGAGAGAUCGUGGAAGAGGAAGAAAUUUUAGAGGAAGAGGCUCAAAUGCUCGUCAAAGAUAUGAAAAUACAAGCACGGAGAAUGGAUGGAAAGAAGCCAGCCAAAGUCAGAAUUUUAGAGGAUCACAAAGAGUACGUGGACGUGGAAAUCAAAGAGGAAGAGGUCGUGGCUAUUUUGAAUGUUAUCAUUGUCGCAAACCUGGUCAUUUGGCAAGUGAAUGCUGGUACAAGAAAGAAGAGAAAAAUGAAGCUAAUAUAGUACAAAAUAAUCAAGAGCAAAAGCAAGAAACUUUGUUGCUCGUGUCUCAUGGUGGAGAGAUUGAUGAUGUCUGGUACAUAGACAGUGGUGCUAGCAAGGCUAUGACAGGUAACAAAAAUUUAUUUUCGAAGUUCUUUGAAUCUGAUUGUGGAGAAGUAAAAGUAGGAGAUGGCAAUGCUUACAAAGUUAGCGGUGUUGGUGAGUUGGAGUUCAAAACAAAGCAAGGAAGGGUAGAGAAAAUGUCUGAAGUUUAUUUUGUUCCCGGACUUAAAAAUAAUCUGCUUAGUGUUGGGCAUCUUUUAAAGAAGGGGUAUGAUAUUCAUUUUCGUGACAUGGCUUGCUAUUUAUCAAGGAAAAAUCAGGUUGUUGCUAGAGUUGGAGUGGCAUCAAAUAAUCUUUUCUCUCUCACCCUUCAAAAUCAGAAUAUGUCUUGUUUUAUUGGUGCUCAUAAAGGAGUUUCAAAGUUAUGGCAUGAUAGAUAUGGACAUUUGAACUAUGGAAAUUUGGAGAUGCUUUCAAAGAAGAUGAUGGUCAGAGGUUUACCAAAAAUCAAUCGACUUGAUGAUAUUUGUGAAGCAUGUCAACUUGGAAAGCAACACAAAAUUACUUUUCCUUCUCAAUCAUCGUGGAAAGCAAGAAGACCAUUGCAACUUAUUCACUCAGAUCUUUGUGGUCCAAUGACAAUUUCAUCUUUGGGAGGUAAUCGUUAUUUUAUCUCUUUCAUUGAUGAUUACUCAAGAAAGUUAUGGGUGUAUUGUGUAAAAGAAAAAUCAGAGGCUUUUCAGAGAUUCAAAGAUUUCAAGGCAGAAGUGGAGAACUUUACUGGGCUAAAAAUUAACACCUUACGGACAGAUCGUGGAGGUGAAUAUUUUUCAAAAGAAUUUGAGAAAUAUUGCCGAGAUAGUGGCAUCCGGCAUGAAAUGACAGUCCGCCAUACACCUCGGCAAAAUGGUGUGUGUGAAAGAAAGAAUAGAACAAUUAUGGAAAUGACUAGAUGUCUUCUUAGGAAGAAGAGGUUAUCAAGAAGAUUUUGGGCUGAAGCUGUUUCUUGUGCAGUUUAUCUUAUAAAUAGAUCACCGACAAGAAGCUUGGAGAAUUGCACACCACAUGAGGCGUGGUAUGGUAUAAAGCCUAGUGUUAGUCAUCUUAGAGUAUUUGGGAGUGUUGCAUACUCUCAUAUUCCAGAUGCAAUGAGAAGCAAGUUGGAUGACAAGUCAGAGAAAUGCAUUUUUAUUGGUUAUAGUGAAAGAAGUAAGGCAUACAAGUUGUACAAUCCGGUGACAAAGAAGAUUGUGAUAAGCCGAGAUGUUCGGUUUGAUGAAAAUUCCAUGUUUGAAGAUAUAGAAGUUGAAAAGGAAAAUUUGCCAAUUUUUCCUUUUGAACUUGAAGAAGAAGAAGAUGCAGUAAUUGAGAAUGCUGAAGAUGAUGCUCAAGUAGGAAAUCCUCCUGCUUCCUCAAGUUCUUCAUCAAAUUCUUCUUCAUCCAGCCCGAUCCGAAAAACGAGAAGCAUCCAAGAGUUAUAUGAUGUAACGGAUGAAGUUGUGCAAAAUGAUGUUGUAUUCUUUGCCUUCUUUGCAGGAGAAGAUCCAAUUUCUUUUGAUGAUGCAUAUCAAGAAGAAAUAUGGAGGAAAGCCAUGAAAGAAGAGAUUUGCUUAAUUGAAAACAAUGAUACAUGGGAACUCACAGAUUUACCGCCGCACAAGAAUUUAAUUGGAGUCAAAUGGGUGUACAAGACAAAGAUGAAUCCGAAUGGCUCUAUCAACAAGUACAAGGCAAGACUGGUUGCAAAAGGAUACAAACAAAAGGAAGGAGAAGAUUUUACAGAGGUAUUUGCUCCAGUUUCAAGACUUGAGACAGUUCGGUUACUUAUUUCUCUUGCUGCCCAAAACAAUUGGAAAAUGUUCCAAAUGGAUGUAAAAUCUGCGUUUUUGAAUGGUGUUCUCAAAGAAUAAGUCUAUGUUGAUCAACCACCAGGGUUUGUCAAAAAAUGAGAAGAAGAAAAAGUUUACAAGUUGAAGAAAGCUUUGUACGGGUUGAAGCAAUCACCCCGAGCUUGGUACAGCCGAAUCGAUUCUUAUUUUCAGAAGUGUGGAUUCCAGAAAUCUCCAUAUGAGCAUACUCUCUACAUCAAAGGCAAUUAUCAAGGAAGAUUCAUGGUUGUUAGUCUCUACGUUGAUGAUCUUAUUUUCACAGGAAAUGAUGUGAAGAUGUUGAAAGAAUUUCAGCACUCAAUGAUGGCAGAAUUUAAGAUGAUAGAUUUGGGAGAACUUCAUCAUUUUCUUGGUAUUGAAGUUCAUCAAUCUAAGAAAGGAAUUUUUAUUUCACAAGAGAGCUACGCAAAGGAAGUUCUAAAAAAGUUCAUGAUGGAAAAUGCGAAUCCAAUCUCUACUCCAUGCAUUACAAGUCUGAAGUUAUCUAAAGAGGGUGAAGGAAAGCUUGUCAAUUCCACCAUAUUCAGAAGUUUGGUUGGGAAGUUGAUGUAUCUGACUUCGACAAGGCCUGACAUCGUGUAUGCUGUUAGUUUGGUGAGUAGAUUCAUGGAGAAACCUUACUCCAAUCACUGGGAGGCUGCUAAGAGAAUAUUGAGAUAUGUGAAGGGAACCAUUGAUUAUGGAAUUUUCUAUAAAGCUAAUACUUAGUUGAUCUCAUUGGUUAUACGGAUAGUGAUUUAGCAGGAAGCAUUGAUGAUAGCAGAAGCACUUCUGGUUAUGUUUUUCACCUUGGGAGUGGUGCAGUUUCAUGGAGUUCAAAGAAACAAUCAAUUGUGGCGCUUUCGACUACAGAAGCUGAAUAUAUCGCUGCAUCUUAUGCAGGAUGUCAAUUGAUUUGGUUACGUGGAAUUUUGGAAAGUCUUAAGCAGAAGCAAAGCAAGUCAACAAUUUUGUUUUGUGACAAUAGUUCUACUAUUUCGGUCACAAAAGAUCCAGUUCUUCAUAGAAGGACAAAACACAUUCGCAUUCGAUAUCACUUCUUGAGGGAACUAGUGAAUAAUGGUGAUGUUCAAGUUGAAUAUUGCAAGACAGAAGAUCAGAUGGCUGAUAUCUUCACAAAGCCUCUAAGUGGACAAGUCUUCAAGAAAAAUGUUGAAAGGUUGGGAGUUCAAAGCAAGUUUAAUUUAAGGGAGGCAUUGUUGGCACAUAAUUAAAUUAACCUUGCACAAAUAAAUUAUGAAAAGUUAGAAGAGUGAAGAGACUUGAAUAUGAAUAGUGAAGAGACUUGAAGAUGAAAAGUUAAGAGGCUUGAAUAUGAAAGGAUACACACAUACAUGAAUAGUCACAACUCCUAGCAUAUAGUGAUAUAGAUGAAUAGUCACUUACAACUCCUAUAUAAAGAGUUGUAUGUGAUGAAGAAUAAUUAACUUGUGUGCUUGAAAUAAAAACUUAUUUGAAAGAAUUUUUCCAUACAAAAUUUAUUUCUCUUCUCCAUUAUAUUCUUUAUCAUUUUCUUUGUUUUAUUUCUCCAAAUAUUAAUUAUUCAACUACACCUCUAGCUGUUGUCAUUGAAAUAGCACUUUGUUCCUUGGAACACAAUUUAGCAAGGCCGAAAUCAGAGAUCUUAGGAUUGAAGUUGUGAUCAAGCAAAAUAUUGUGAGGUUUGAUGUCGAAAUGGAGGAUACGUUGCUCGCAACCUUGAUGCAGGUACUCGAUGCCUUUGGCUACACCGACAGCAAUAUCCUGAAGUUUUUCCCAACUAAGGGAUCAAUCCUUGCCCUUGGCUGCAAAUAUGAACUUCUCUAAUGACUCGUUUGGUAGGUAUUCAUAAACGAGAGCUCGGUCAUAUCCAUCGGCACAAAAGCCAACCAGGCGAGUCACAUUCACAUGGUGGAUUCUGCCCAUCGAACCCACCUCGUUGAAGAACUCUUCACCAUUUCCCUUGAAAUUAUUGAGUACCUUGACAGCAACUAAAACAUCACUGGAAAGUCUGCCUUUGAAGACAGUUCCAUAGCCUCCUUGUCCCAGUUUGUCCUUGAAAUGAUUAGUUAUCCUUUUAAUAUCAGCAUAGGAGUAUCUUGAGGGUUUAAACCCUUUAUAAUCUUCCAAAAACUUUUCAAUCUUGACUUGAAUUUCUUUCUCCUUUUUGUCUAACUGAUAUCUCCACCCAACUGCAAUGGCAAUGGUUGCAGCAAUUGAAGAACCCAACACAAUACCUGCAAAUCAGCAUACAUCCCUCUGUUAUAUCCCGUCUUAAAUUUUUGAAGCUAAAAGGGAAAUUCCAUUUACCUGCAAUCAUUAGCCUUUCUCCCAAACCUGCCAAGCAUUUAAAAUUAUUCAGCUUUGAUACAUGGGAAAUCUAAGAAAAGGGCUCACUGUAAGUUUACAACAUUAAGCUUCACGUUGAUGCAGGCUAAUGAAUUUUUUAACGUACGUUGUACAAUUAUAAUAGUUAAAACAUACCUAUAUGGUGCUUGGGGAUAUCAAAACACUCGGUUUGUUCCUUGGUGCUAUUAUUGUUGUUCAAUCUACAUCCCCUUCCUUGAGCUUCGCAAUCACCACAGUCUGGUUUAUACCAACGUAACUGAAAACGGAUACCAUAAGGAGAAAUGGGUGUUGAGAAGUUGCGAAAGUAGCUGCAAUUCAACAGGUUGAGUCCAUAAUAAUUUUCAUCAGAAGCAAAAGCUAUAAUUUGGGAGCCAGGGGUGCUUAAGCAAGCGACUCUAUAUCUUUUAUACAAAGCCUUCUCUUGGCUUAAACAUUCGAACAAGGUAUAGUUGGAUUCAGCUGGUUGGGAUCUAUAAUCUUUUAGGCCGCUGAAACCUGGUUGUUCCUCCGCGAAUGGAAAGGCAGAUAAAUUGAGAUCUAAAAGCUGCUGCCAGAGGCAACGGCCGGGAACGUAUAAGUCAAUCCGUUGAGCUUCAUAAUCUAUGUGCUUCACCAAUAGCUUCAGCGAACGUGGUAUCUUCAGCAGGGUCUGUUUGUUUUCUGAGCAGGAAAGCUGAAACCCAGGAUGAGGAUAGCCGCAGUGGGGAGACUGCUGGCCUUCUAAACGGAAGGGGAAACGGACAGGUGGAUCCUGGUGGUUGCACCGCCGCACCUUGCAGUCGUCUUGGAUUGGCACUGCUUCUGCAACAUUCACAGCUAAGAUAAAGCAGAAUAACGAGUAAAUUAACAUUGUUCUUACUAACUUGUGAGCCCCUAAAGUGAAACGGGCUUUAAAUAGUUUCAUUGACAUAGGUGGUUCAGCCCUUGAGAGUUCCAAUUAUGCACGCAACGCAGCUGCUGCUUUACUACAUAGCUUUGUCUCGUUUAACAGGGUCUUCAACUCUUCGUCCUCUCUUUGUCCUCUUUUAUGAGUAAAUGUUGGACAUGUUUGAUUGUUAGCAACCCUUUCUAACCUUGUUACUAAUUUUCUUUUAUUCCCGUUAGUUGUAGUAAAAUUUGAGGAAAAAACACUGAACAUGAGAAUGAAUACCGAUUUGCUGUUGUGAUCAUAGUGGGGUCAGCUUGACUGACUUUUGUUUUUCCACCUUCGUUUCACUACAUUUUGUUUGGUAUGACUAAGAAGUUGACUGACUUUUAUGGGUUCUUUUUAAUGUCUAUCGUUUCUUUUCUAAUGUAGGUGGAUUUUUUCUCACUUUCUUUUUUUCUAAUUUAUCUUUUAUUUUUAAAAAUGGCAAAACUCGAAUCAUAUGUUUUUAAAUUACUUAUACAAAUUUUUUUAAAAGUGGAUACAAGACAAUGAGAUGAUUUUUUCCACAUGAGUAUGAAACAAUUAUAGUCAUUGUUUGCUCUACUCACCCUAUCUCGAAAUAAUCUUUUACCUUUUUUUUUGUAUAUAAUUAUUAAAAUGAUAAAAAUGUAAUAAUAUGUUAUAGAAAAAAUUCAUAUGUUUUAUACUUAUAUUUUUUAAAAAUUAUGUUUAAAUAUUUACUUUUCUUAAAAAAAAGUAAAAUUAUUAAAAUAACUAAAAAUAAAAAUUAAAUUAAAGUAGAGCGAAGCAAGGUGAGAUGGGAUGGGGAUGGAUGCUUCUAAUAUCUAUGCGGUGAUAGUAAUUUUUCAGAUUAUACAUCCAACACAAGUAAAAAUUCAUAUGCAAGGAAUCAAAAUAUCAGUCCACUAAGCCAAUAAUUUAAUUACAACAUUAAGAUAAUUGAAAACGUAACGAUUACAAACUAAUUUUUUAAAUGUUGGUUGCUUAAAACGUAAGGAUCACAUGCACUAUAAACGUAAGGACCACCGUUGAAAGCCAUGCAAAAAUCUACAAUUUUAUAUUUAUAUGUGUAUAUAUACACAUAUACAUAUACACGUAAACACUAUAAAUCAUGCCAACCAUUAACAAAGCCAUGCAAAUAUUUAUAUUUAUAUAUUUCAUAUAUUUAUACAUUCACAUGCACAUAACUAAAUACGACAUCAUGCAAAUAUAGUUAUGUACAGAAUAUUGAUAUAUUAUCUCAUCAAUUUUAAAAAUAAACAACACCAAAAGACCAAGCUUUACACUACUCACACGACAUAACAUUGGUUUCACGAAUCCUCAAAGCACUACUCCCUCUGGGCUUUCUAUUAACAGCAACCUCCUUUGUCUUUAUUUGGUUGUGGCUUCUAUGCAGAUUAGACGAGAGGCUUCAAUGGAUGAUAUAAAAGAGGUGGUGUUGGUCAGUGUUGGGCAGAGGUGGCCUGAUGUCGGUGCAAGGAGAUCAACGGUUAGGGACGAGGGUGACUGUGGAGCGAUGAGAUGUUGGGGCGACGGAAGAACUCACGAUGGCGGUGAUAGGGCGGACAAUGGUGCAUUGAUGGAGAUGACUCCAAGGCAGCGUGAUGAAAGGGAGGGACGACUUGGGGCAGUUGGCUGACGGUGUGGCGACUAAGAGGAUCGGUGCUUAGUGAUGGAAUGAAGGAGAUAAUGCCUGACGUUGGGGAGUGAAAGGUGGUAAUCAGUCUUUUAUUAGGUUUGAUAGUAGGAAAGUUUGACCAAAUGUAUUCAUUCUUUAUUAGUCAUAACUCUGAAACCUAAUUGAUGAUGAUGAUAGAGCACACACACCUAAGCCACCACUCUCUCGACUAAUUCCAGUUUUUCCUUGCUUUUCAAAAGUAUUUUUAGAAAAUACUUUUAAAGUACUUUUAAAAAAUUUGAGUAUUUGGUAUUACUAACAUAAAGUGUUUUUGAAAAAUAAAAUAUUUAUUUUAGACAUGAUAUUAUAAAGUAAUAAAUAUGUAUUUAAAUAAUAUUCAAAUUAGUUAAUAUUAUGAUAUUUUAGCAAAAAAAUAAAAAAUAAUUUAUUAUAACUUAUUGUUAAUAUUUUAAUAUAUAAUAUUAAUUUUAAAUAUUUCUAAGUAAUUAAUAUUAAUUAUUUAUUAACUUUAAUUAGAAUAUAUAAACUAUAUUUAAAUAUUUAAAUAUAAUAAUUAAAUAAUUGUAAUUAGAUAUUGACACAACUGUAUUAUUAUAAAAAUUAUUUUUUAUUUUUAAUUAAUACUUUUUAACACAUUUGUAUUAUUUUAUUUUAAAAUGUAUUUGAAUAUAUAACUCAUAUUAGAUAUUAACAUAACAUAGAAAACAUAAACUUAAAAAAUUAAAAUAUUACAUAUAUUUGGAUUAAAGUUUUAAAAAGGGAUAAUAUUUAUAUACCAAAUAUAAAUACUAAAAAUCUUACAAUAGCAUUUACAAUUUAAAGUGAAUUCAUUAAACUAGAAGUUAUAGCAUCUCUUGUUAAUUCCAUUUCAAAACCACUUGAAUUGUUUGAUUCACUGUCAUCAUCACUAUCUUCGUCGUCGUCGUCAUCAUAUCACUUUAUCGACCAUGCGCAUUUUCUGAAUCAAUAAUAUUCUCAUAUGCCCAGUUAAUAUCUUCGUAUUCCAUAAAAUCUACAUCAUUUCGACCGAAAUGUUUUCAGAUAAAAUUGUGUAUCGUCAUUGUAGCAACAACGAUCAUGGUUUGCUUUCAAAAAUAUAACUUGGCAUAUCCCUUAAAAUGGCUCUUUUUUUCAAAACACCAAAAGUUCGUUCAAUUACACUACGUAAUGAUGAAUGUGAAUGAUUGAAUAUCUCUUCUAUACCAGAUAUCGGUCUACUUCUACAAAAGUCAAGUAAAUGAUAUCGCUGAUAUUUUGGUAGGGGUUUUGCUUAUGAUUGCGGCACUCUUUAAUAUGUACCAUUUGCAAUACAUUUAAGUAAAAAUAUUAUUAUAUAUAAAGUCCUAAGGCAGUCAUUAAGAAAACCCAUGUAGUUACUUCAAACAUGUGGUAUUAUUGAUUAUCAAAGUAAUGGCAUUAAAGGCAUGACUUCCCCACUCCACCGGUCCAGCUGCAACUGCAUUAAUGGAGUAAAAAAGACACAUACCUAGCUACAAAACUCAAUUAUGGCUUGUUUCCAAACCUUACCAAACCAUGAACUCAACAUGAUACUUCAAACAAUUGAAUCACCAAACUAAAAGAGAAAAAAAGAAUUUCAAAAACUAGAAUAAAUUGCUUGGAUGUUUAAGUUCAAACCUGGGAAUAUAUAUAUAUAGAAACGCAAAAGCUGAAGCAAAAAGAAAAGAAAAAAGCCAGUGUAACCUCCAGUAAGAAGCUCAAAAGAAUGGAAAUGCUAGCAUUAAUUACCAAUCAGAAUUAAUAUAUAGUAAAGUAAUUAAGUUGAAAAAAAGAACUUUGCAAAUGAAGAAGAGACAGAAAACAACACACAUAAAAAAUGGACAAAGACUGAUGAUGUUUGUAAACCAUCCAGAAAAUAGAAUAAGAAGAGAACAAAUCCAUCAACCACCUCUCUGAAAACUAUCCAUUUGCCAGCAGAGGAACAAAAAACCAGCACCAGCAGAGGAACAUAGAACGAGCGAUGAAAGAAGAGAUGAGAGCAAAGAACCACUGUUGUAUGUGUGGCUAAAAAAGUAAAAGACUAGCCCAAAAGUACUUUUUUGCUGAAAAAGCUAAAAAAUUCUACUUUUUCAUCUGCCCAAAAGCACUUCAAAUAAGUUCGAAAUUUGCUACCAAAUGAAGUCGGUUCUGCAUUGCUUUUUAGAUAAAAGCACUUUUCCUUUACUGAAUUGAAUUAAUGGAAAAAAACGACAAAGAGUGUAAUUUUUACUUUACUUUACUGAAAGUGAAUGGAUAAAUAUGGAAUUAGAGAAUAAAGAAAAUUGGGGAAAAAAGAAGAAGAAGAAGGAGAAGUGUUAUCAUGAUUAUGACCCUUGGAUAUUAUGGAAGAAGUGAAGAAAUAAUUGCAAUUGGAUAUUAAUUAUAAUGUUGGGAUUUUUAUUAAUGUUUUAAUUAUAUUAAUUGUUACAUGGCUGUGUGGCUCAAAUGGACGUGUGGAAGAGGUCAGUUUAUGUGGCUCCCGUACUUGUUUUGAUUUUCGAUUCUUGAUAAGUGUCAAAAGUAACAUAUUUUAAUUUCGUUCUUAAUACGUUUUUAGAUGAUUAAUCAAUGCAAAAUGGUGAAUUUUAUACUCAUAAUCCUUUAAAUUCAUAUUUCUAUACUUAUAAGAGCAUUUUGAGAAAAAAAUGAGUGAAAACGGAGCGAAAAUCAGACAAUUGGAGUAGAUUUCAGGAGCCACACGGGUUGGACACACGGUCAUGUGAGCCACACGAGCUGCCACACGAGCUGCCACACAGCCAUGUGCCAGACCGUGUGGAUUUCGCGUUUCACACUCCAAAUAUGUGGAAUCACGCAGUUUUUAGGUUUUUCGGGCAUUCUUAAACCUAUAUAUACCAAAUAUAAGGAGAGAAGUAAGAGCCGUCAGAGAAUAUUGAAGAAAACAACUCAGAAGACACCAUUGAAGCCAACUUUGAAACAGAUUUCCACUAAGAUUGAAGAUCUCCUUUUGAUUUAUUUGAAGUUUAUUAUGAGUUUCUUUAUUUUUUGUGGUUAUAUUGUCUUUGAGAUGUUUUUAUUCGCGAUUAUGAACUAAUUUUCUAAUACCUAGGGGAGAUGAACCUUAUAAUGAAUUUUGUCUUUUGAUUUCUGUUUUAUGCAAUGAAUAAUUGAAUCUUAUUCUUAGUUAUGUGUGCUUAAUUCUUGAUUUAAUAUUUUCUAAUUAUUAAUUCAUGUUUGAUGUGCUUAAUUCAAAGUAGAUCUAGCAUAAUUGAGUGGAGUUGCAUGUAAUCUUAGAAAUAGGACGACAUAAAUCUACCGAAUUAGGUAUUCAUAAACGAGAACUCAAUCAUAUCCAUCGGCACAAAACCCAACCAGGUGAGUCACAUUUACAUAGUGGAUUCUACCCAUCGAACUCACCUCAUUGAUGAACUCUUAAUAUUUAACUAAAGUUUGCUUUCUACUUUUUUUUUUAUUUCCAUUUUUAAGAAAAUGUUAUUUUAUUAAUUCAAUUAUCAAAAUUAAUAUUAUUUUAUUUAAAUUAGAUUAAUCCUCAUUUAAUUAUUACAAGUAUAUUAUUUUAGAAUUAUAAAAAUUAUUAUUUAAUAAAUUAAACAAAUAAACAUUUAAAAUCACAUACAUUACAUUAAAAACUAAUAUAUCUAAAUAUAUAUUUUACCACUUAUUUUAAUCUUGUUAUUUUUAAUUUCAUCAAAAUUAUAUAUCACUCGAGCCACUGCGACUGCUGACUGGCGAUUAUUGCCUGCAUAAUUUGAUGAAAGGUUCUGAAUUAAUACAUCCAAGACUUUUAUGAGCAUCGCCAUUGACUGACCGACGACUUGUAUGAAAGAAUUUUCCACAUUAGCUUUAUUAUGGACUGAUUUUUCAAAGAAAGACUUGCUCUCAGUUGCAGCCAUAAAAUAAAUGAAUGAUUGGCAUUUUACAUUAAAGAACAUCCCAUUGUUUAUUUCUUCAUCGGAGCUCCACCGGAACCUGAUGAUGUUAAGACCCAGACUUGUCUUGUUUAGCGUCUUUGCCCUUACUUUAUCUCUAUCCCCAGAUGUUUCCGAUGGUAGAGCAGGCAAAAGCAACCACUGCAACCCAUCUUUGUGUGGACACGUUAAUAUCAGUCACCCUUUCCGCCUAAAAGGUCAGCCUCGUGGAUGUGGUGACCGUAGGUUUGAAUUAGAGUGCAAGAGAAACCGCACCAGUUUUCCCACGAAAUACGGAAACUUUUAUGUCCUAAACAUCUCUUAUGUUUACGGAACGCUUCGACUUGUGGAUGUGAGUCUGGUCGAUGAAAACUGCUCAAUUCCUCGCAGUUCCAUUGUCUAUUCUCCAUACAGCUAUCAAGAAGACAUAAAUUAUGGAAGACACACCAUGUAUCUGGUAAAUUGCACGACAAGGAUGAAGUCUUCUUCAGUUUAUGUCGAUGCUUCUCGUUGCCCAACCAAUAGCUCUUCUUCUCCUUGGACCUACUUCUACUUUCCGGUCUCGUUUUCAAAUAUAUCCGAUUUCCAUCAUUCGUGCAGAUUUAUAGCCCAGUUUCCUGUCAUGCUUUCCAAUAUUAGUGGCUUAUCCCCUUCGUACAUUUACAAAAACCUGUUGGAAGGCGUCGACGUGUACUGGUAUAUACCCUAUACUGAUUGGACUUUAAACCCGAUUCUCAAAGUGUAAGAGACUUCGAUCUUUAGAUUCCUUCAAUCUAUAACUUUUCAAGGUCUUAUUUAUUGAUUGGUUGCUUUUGUUUUUCCUUGGGGGGGGGGGGGGGGGGGUUAUUCUAGCUUGGUGAACUAUCUGCUACUUCCAAUUACAGCAUACAUAGUAAGCAAUGUGGCCUUUCUUCUACCGGGAAUCUUCGGCCAUUAUCCUUUUGGGAAAGGUUAAUCUUUCAGAUUUCAUAAGUAUCUUUAUUUAUUGGAUUUGCCCUUGAAUUGUAUUCGAGUUAGUAAUAUUAUUGUUCAAUUUGCGUUUUAAACAGGAGCCACCUUCGUUUGUCUUGCAGUAUCAGGUAAAUCUCUUUCCCUUCCCACUUUUUAUGUUAUCUUUAUAAAAUAAUCAUGAAUGCUGAUUUAUCCAUGUGUAUGCACCUUGAUGGGCAAGCAGGCAUAUUGUUAGCGAGAACUUUGUUGGGGAUAUUCUGCCUCAUUACACUUGUCAUACGCAAACUAAAGAGGAGGCAUUUGUCGAUGGAUGAUGAUAUCAAAAACUUUCUUUAAAGUCAAAAUAAUUUAAUACCUAUUCGAUAUUCGUAUUCUGAAAUAAAAAGAAUUACGGAAGGUUUUAAAGUUAAAUUAGGUCAAGGUGGUUAUGGUUCUGUGUUUAAAGGAAAGCUUCGCAGUGGUCGGCUAGUGGCAAUAAAAAUGUUAGAUAAAUCCAAAGCAAAUGGAGAAGAUUUCAUCAAUGAAGUUGCUACUAUUGGAAGAAUUCAUCAUAUUAAUGUAGUGCAACUUAUUGGGUUUUGUGUAGAGAGAUCAAAACAAGCUCUUGUAUAUGAUUUUAUGGUGAAUGGGUCUCUGGAUAAAAUUAUAUUUUCAAAGGAGAAUUGCACUUUAAGUUGGCAAAAAUUAUUUGAUGUUGCACUUGGUGUGGCUCGAGGAAUUGAAUACUUGCACCGAGGUUGUCAAAUGCAAAUUUUGCAUUUUGAUAUCAAGCCGCACAACAUUCUUUUGGAUGAAAACUUUAUCCCUAAAGUUUCUGAUUUUGGUCUUGCAAAAUUAUAUUCAGUGGAUGACAGUAUUAUUUCUCUCACAGCGGCUCGUGGUACAUUAGGAUACAUUGCUCCUGAAUUAUUUUACAGAAAUAUUGGAGGCAUCUCAUAUAAAGCCGAUAUUUAUAGUUUUGGAAUGUUAUUAAUGGAAAUGGUGGGAAGAAGAAAGAAUUUGAAUGCAUUUGAUGAUCAUUCUAGUCAAAUUUAUUUUCCGUCAUGGAUUUAUGAUCGAUUUGAACAAAGAGAGAACAUAGAAUUAGGGGAUGUAACAGAAGUUGAUGACAAAAUAGCAAGGAAGAUGAUCAUGGUUGCUUUUUGGUGCAUACAAAUGAAUCCCACUAAUCGUCCUUCAAUGAGCAAAGUUUUGGAAAUGCUCGAAAAUGAACUUGAUCAACUUGAAUUGCCGUCCAGACCUUCACUAUUUUCUCUCGAAAAGUCGAUUGAAGAUCAUGUUAGUAAGAAUGUAUCGGAGGAACCAUCAACGUCAAAAAGUUGUGUGGACCUCUAAGUAUAAUUUUUGAUUUUAUUCGGACCUUUUAUUCAUAUAGUUCUGCAACUGUAAGGUUUUAAUUUGUAGCAUUUCAUGUUCAGUUGUAUAAUAUCCAGCAUCAUGUAAUACAACUAUUAAUGGAUGUGUGUUUUAGACUUUAGCUCCUUAGCUUCAUGUUUCAAUUAUUAAAAAUGUCUCCUUGUCACCAUAUAAUGAGUUAAUAUCAAAUUCGUUUACAAUUAUUUAGUAUAUAAGUGACUCUUAACAUUGUGUGAUCUCAUGAGAAGGUUUUUACUCUCUUAUCGUAAUAUGUAAUCAUGAUGAUAAGAGUAUCUGAUACGGGGUUGCGCGCGGACCAAGAUCGAGUUGCCAAAUCACGAGAAACUCCUACGAAAACCCUAAACAAUCAGAUCUGAAACGAAACAGAAAAUUAAAAGAUUAGAUUUUUGAAUUUUCAAAUCUGAAAUAAAAUCCCCAAAUCAGCAAAGAAUCAAAUUGAGAAUAGAAAUAAGUGUUAGGGUUAUUGAAACCCUCAAGGAGAUUGUGAUUCUGCCCAAUUGAACACCAAGAUAGUUUUCCCCAAAUUUCGACAAUCUAAUUUCACCCAAAAAGAGUAUGGAAAAACCCUAGAAAUUGGGGAUUUUUGGGCUGAUUCCUUAAGAUAGAAAAAGGCUGAAAACGCAAUAAGAACAAAAAAUAGAUUAGAUAAUGAUUCAGCACAAGUAGAAAUAAAGAAAGAAUUGACAGUAAGAAAUUAAAAGAUAAGUCCUAAGAAGCCUUGAAAUCCCGAAAGAUCUCACAACUCCCUUCAAACGGCUCUAAUCUCCCCUCCAAAGAAUAUCAAUGGCAAGAAGAAGGUUGAAGAUGGCUCCCACAAUCAAAAAGAUUGUUAAAACAACUUCUAAAGAAAACUCAAGAGAAAAUCCUUGAAGAACUCAAAGAGAAUUUUCACUCAAAUCAAAUCUGAAAUUUUCAAUGUAAUUGUAAUGUAAUGUAGGGUGGCUGGCCAAGCCAUAUAAAUAGGCCUUUCAAAUGUUUUCCUAAUUUAAUUAGAACACUAAAACUAAAACUAAAAAAAACUCCUAAUUAUUUUAAUAUGGAAAUUCGGCCAAGGGUCUUUUAUUUGGGACUCUUGGACUGAAUAUAAAAAUUUAAACUAAGUAAAAUAAAUAAAUAAAUAAAUAAAAAUAAAACUUUACAACUUGGGCCACUUUGACAAUUUGGCCUGAUUUUCAACUAAGUAUGGAUGGAUUUCUUGAUUGGGCUGGGAAUUUGCUUAUUGGGCCUCGCCUUCAAGAAUUUGGGCUUUUGUGACUCGUAUCAUUCCCCCUUCCUCAAAAAGAUUCGUCCUCGAAUCUGAAAAAUCAAAUGAACUCGACUUUCCUCUAUCGAACGGGACUAAUGGCAAUUGAGUCCACUGAGAAGAAUAGCCAUGAGAUAGUAAAUAGCAACGGAAAUAAGCUUGUAGUCCAAUCAUAAGCAUAAUAGAACAGGUAUAACGCAUGUGAAUGGAUAGAUUCAGAUUACCAUGCAAACAAUCUAAUUUACUCACCACUGCCUCGUCAAAUAUUUGAAACAAAGAUGGACAUGUUUUAAGGCAUUCAGUCGUCUCACAUUGUUCCCACAAACCAUGAAUAAAUUGCGAGUAAUAAAUCAAAUGGUAAACAUAAUCGUCACAAGUAGGUAUUUGAAAAGAUUCACAUGGUUCACAGAGUUGCAUAAUCAUACCAUGCAUUAAUCGACGGUCUAUAGAUUCACUCACACAUGCAUUAUCAAAAACAAGAAUCUUUUUAUCAACCAUCAAAACAGAUAGAUCAUCAAUAAAUAAAAUAGGACAGUCAAGCACGUUUCGAUCUAAGUGUUCAUCAACACGAUCUUUAUCACUAUCCGAGGAGUACAAAAGUGUUUCAAAGGUUUCAAGCAUCUUACCUCGAUAAGCAGAAGAAUAAGGGUCGAUUUUACCUUUUUCAUUUAAAACAAACCUUCGCUCAUCGGGGGCAUAGUGUAGUCGAAUCUUCGUUGUUGAGUUAACGUUUGUCAAAUGGAACUCAAACUUCAUGUACAACCACAUAAACUGUUUAAGACACGAAUAUAAAUUGAAAACAAAUUUGGAAAAUUUCAUUACCUUAUUCUCCAAAACAGAUUUGGACAAAUUCGAGGAUUUUACACAAGGUAAAUCAAGAGAAUAAGAAAUCACGCUUCUUUUCGUAAUGACUUUAUCAACCACAAUCGAAGAGUAACAAUUAAUCGGAUCAAAAUGAGGGGAUCUUUUAAGAACUAAGUCACCAAAAGUUUGAUCAAUAAUUUUCAAAUCUGCACUGGACUCGGUUUCUAAAAUUUCCUUACCUCGCUUACCUUCGGGAUCAUGUAGUGUGAUUUCAUCUUUGCCUAAGUUGAUCGUAUGAAAGCGUCUUUCAUUUGAGAGGUAUUGAAGUUGAAAGUUAUCUUUCGAUCUUUCGGGAACCUGAAAAGUAGCAACACAAGAAAAAUUCAUAUCUUGGUUAGUGGAAACAUUCCUCACUAUCCUUUCCACGUCUUUUUCUUUUGUUUCUUUUUCUAAUUCAUUUUCUCUUCUUUCUUCAAUUUCUUUUUCACUCUCAAUCUCUUUUUGCUCUUUUUCAUUCUCUUUUUCUUUUUCCUCACUUGUUUUAACAGAAUUUUUCAGUUUGAUUUGGUCCUCAUGGACUUAUUCCGGAGUGAGCGGCACUAAGGUGAGUUUCUUUCCUUGAUGCUUGAAAGAAUACCUAUUGGUAUGACCAUCGUGAGUGACUUUUCGAUCCAGUUGCCAUGGUUCUCCUAGCAACAAAUGGCAGGCUUGAAUAGGCAUUACGUCGCACACAACUUCGUCUUGAUACUUACCAAUAGAAAAGGCGAUGCGCACUUGUUGAGUGACCCUAAAUUGGCCUUCGUUGCUAAGCCCUUGUAGUUGAUAAGGUUGUGGAUGCUUGGUAGUGGUUAAGCAAAGCUUUUCCACCAUCGUCGUGCUGGCUAUGUUCGAGCAACUUUCACCAUCAAUAAUAACUCUACAAAGCUUACCUUGUACGUGGCAGCGAGUAUGAAAGAGAUGUUCUCGUUGCUGCUCGCUCUUUGGUUUUGCCAAAGAUGAUUGUCCAUGAUCAUGACAAUCAUCAUCCAUUCUAGGGACACGUUCAGGGUUGCACCUAUGGGGCUGGUUAUCCCUAUCUUCCUUAAUUGGAUCUCGAUAUUGAUGUUUUUGAUUCACUCGUACCUCAUUCAAAGUAGUAUUCAAUGCUUGAAGUGUAGCAUUUAUUUGUGUGAUUGCAGCAGUAUGUCUGUCUAACUGUUGUUGGACUUUCAUAAGUGCAUCAUUAUUACCACCUUUAGACAUCUUCAAAACCUGUAAAAAAUAAACACUCAAAAAUAAAAGUUAGCAAACCUCACCAUUAAUCACUCAAAAAGAAAAAUCAAAUUCUCAAUGAGGUCGAAUUCAAUCUUGUGAGUUCUUUAUCAGAGUUUAUAUCAACCAAUUAGAGAGUGUGAACCAAACUACCAAAGAAUCCUAAUUUGCACUAGGAUGCCAAAAACUGACGAGACACCAAGUGAUUCGUGUUGCACCGAGGAAGGAGUUGUGCACACGUGUAAAUCCUACUAACACAAGAAACAAGAAGGUGUUAGAUAACGUAACAGAAGCAAACAAAUGAAAACCUACAGCUAAGAAUCAAUAAAAAUUGCUGAAAACAGAAAACCCGAAAAACUGCGGAGUAACUUGACAACUUCGUUCGAGGUGUUCCUGAUCUCCAAAAAUCACGAAAUUAAAUCUCGAAUGUCCUUAAAUAUUUAAUUUUUGAUCUGGAAAUUUUGGGCACCAAAUUCAACCCGCUGAAUCUUUUUUAAAUUUUUAUUGAAUUUCGUCUUUUUUGAUUUUUUUGACUUUUUUGACUGAUUUUUUUGCGGGAAUAAUUUUUUAUAUUCAAUCACAGUGCCAAAAACAUGUAUGUAAAAUUUCAGAUCAAUAGGACAACGUUUACCCACUCAAAUGAAUUUUUUUUGAACAAUUUUUCUGGGUAAAACUGUUGUUUAUGCUUUAAAAAAUAGAGAUCAGUUUAGAAAUCAACCAAGAACACCCAAAAUACCCAAAAUCUGAUACCAAAUGAUACGGGGUUGCGCGCGGACCAAGAUCGAGUUGCCAAGUCACGAGAAACUCCUACGAAAACCCUAAACAAUCAGAUCUGAAACGAAACAGAAAAUUAAAAGAUUAGAUUUUUGAAUUUUCAAAUCUGAAAUAAAAUCCCCAAAUCAGCAAAGAAUCAAAUUGAGAAUAGAAAUAAGUGUUAGGGUUAUUGAAACCCUCAAGGAGAUUGUGAUUCUGCCCAAUUGAACACCAAGAUAGUUUUCCCCAAAUUUCGACAAUCUAAUUUCACCCAAAAAGAGUAUGGAAAAACCCUAGAAAUUGGGGAUUUUUGGGCUGAUUCCUUAAGAUAGAAAAAGGCUGAAAACGCAAUAAGAACAAAAAAUAGAUUAGAUAAUGAUUCAGCACAAGUAGAAAUAAAGAAAGAAUUGACAGUAAGAAAUUAAAAGAUAAGUCCUAAGAAGCCUUGAAAUCCCGAAAGAUCUCACAACUCCCUUCAAACGGCUCUAAUCUCCCCUCCAAAGAAUAUCAAUGGCAAGAAGAAGGUUGAAGAUGGCUCCCACAAUCAAAAAGAUUGUUAAAACAACUUCUAAAGAAAACUCAAGAGAAAAUCCUUGAAGAACUCAAAGAGAAUUUUCACUCAAAUCAAAUCUGAAAUUUUCAAUGUAAUUGUAAUGUAAUGUAGGGUGGCUGGCCAAGCCAUAUAAAUAGGCCUUUCAAAUGUUUUCCUAAUUUAAUUAGAACACUAAAACUAAAACUAAAAAAAACUCCUAAUUAUUUUAAUAUGGAAAUUCGGCCAAGGGUCUUUUAUUUGGGACUCUUGGACUGAAUAUAAAAAUUUAAACUAAGUAAAAUAAAUAAAUAAAUAAAUAAAAAUAAAACUUUACAACUUGGGCCACUUUGACAAUUUGGCCUGAUUUUCAACUAAGUAUGGAUGGAUUUCUUGAUUGGGCUGGGAAUUUGCUUAUUGGGCCUCGCCUUCAAGAAUUUGGGCUUUUGUGACUCGUAUCAGUAUCUUAUAAUAAUUAUGAGUGUGGCGUGACGGUUGCUCACUUUAUUUUUUAAUCAUGUAGCCAGGGGUUCGAGCUCCACUCCUAGAAAUGGAACACCUUCCAACAAUGAAUACCUUAAUUUUGACAAUUAAACAACAUUUAAGAUAGAAUCUUAUCAUUUAUUAGUAGAAUAUAUAUACUAACAGCCAUGCAGCAUUUCAUUUAUGAGUUCAAAUAAAAUCAAGUUUCAACUGCUUCUAGUACUACUAACAAUGAGGCUCGAGAUUGCUCUUAUUCCAUUUCUGAAAUAGUGGCUAGAUCUCUGUUAACCGGCUUCCUAGGUGUGGUGGCACCCAUCGUCUUCGGUGUAUCUGUCGAUGCAAAAGGAUUUGGUGGCAUUGUAAGAACGUCAAGCUCUCCCUCUAACAUCUGAACCACCACUUUCAUCGAAGGACGAUCAACGGGAUACCACUGAAUGCACCAAAGUCCAACGAUCAUGAGUUUCUUUGCUAUCCCUGUUUGUGCAUCAUCUUCAAUUCGAAUCCCGAACUCCUCUCCUUUAUCCAAACGAUCAUAUGCCCAUUCUGGGAAAUAAACUUGGCUUGUAUUCUCGACCGUAACAUCUAUGUUCUUUCUCCCCCCAACCAUUUCAAGCAACAGCAUUCCAAAACUAUAAACAUCAGACUUAUAUGACACAUUUCCGAAGUUCCGAGACAGUACCUCGGGUGCAAUAUAGCCCAUGGUACCUCUAGCUGUUGUCAUUGAAAUAGCACUUUGUUCCUUGGAACACAAUUUAGCAAGGCCGAAAUCAGAGAUCUUAGGAUUGAAGUUGUGAUCAAGCAAAAUAUUGUGAGGUUUGAUGUCGAAAUGGAGGAUACGUUGCUCGCAACCUUGAUGCAGGUACUCGAUGCCUUUGGCUACACCGACAGCAAUAUCCUGAAGUUUUUCCCAACUAAGGGAUCGAUCCUUGCCCUUGGCUGCAAAUAUGAACUUCUCUAAUGACUCGUUUGGUAGGUAUUCAUAAACGAGAGCUCGGUCAUAUCCAUCGGCACAAAAGCCAACCAGGCGAGUCACAUUCACAUGGUGGAUUCUGCCCAUCGAACCCACCUCGUUGAUGAACUCUUCACCAUUUCCCUUGAAAUUAUUGAGUACCUUGACAGCAACUAAAACAUCACUGGAAAGUCUGCCUUUGAAGACAGUUCCAUAGCCUCCUUGUCCCAGUUUGUCCUUGAAAUGAUUAGUUAUCCUUUUAAUAUCAGCAUAGGAGUAUCUUGAGGGUUUAAACCCUUUAUAAUCUUCCAAAAACUUUUCAAUCUUGACUUGACUUUCUUUCUCUUUUUUGUCUAACUGAUAUCUCCACCCAACUGCAAUGGCAAUGGUUGCAGCAAUUGAAGAACCCAACACAAUACCUGCAAAUCAGCAUACAUCCCUCUGUUAUAUCUCGUCUUAAAUUUUUGAAGUUAAAAGGGAAAUUCCAUUUACCUACAAUCAUUAGCCUUUCUCCCAAACCUGCCAAGCAUUUAAAAUUAUUCAGCUUUGAUACAUGGGAAAUCUAAGAAAAGGGCUCACUGUAAGUUUACAACAUUAAGCUUCACGUUGAUGCAGGCUAAUGAAUUUUUUAACGUACGUUGUACAAUUAUAAUAGUUAAAACAUACCUAUAUGGUGCUUGGGGAUAUCAAAACACUCGGUUUGUUCCUUGGUGCUAUUAUUGUUGUUCAAUCUACAUCCCCUUCCUUGAGCUUCGCAAUCACCACAGUCUGGUUUAUACCAACGUAACUGAAAACGGAUACCAUAAGGAGAAAUGGGUGUUGAGAAGUUGCGAAAGUAGCUGCAAUUCAACAGGUUGAGUCCAUAAUAAUUUUCAUCAGAAGCAAAAGUUAUAAUUUGGGAGCCAGGGGUGCUUAAGCAAGCGACUCUAUAUCUUUUAUACAAAGCCUUCUCUUGGCUUAAACAUUCGAACAAGGUAUAGUUAGAUUCAGCUGGUUGGGAUCUAUAAUCUUUUAGGCCGCUGAAACCUGGUUGUUCCUCCGCGAAUGGAAAGGCAGAUAAAUUGAGAUCUAAAAGCUGCUGCCAGAGGCAACGGCCGGGAACGUAGAAGUCAAUCCGUUGAGCUUCAUAAUCUAUGUGCUUCACCAAUAGCUUCAGCGAACGUGGUAUCUUCAGCAGGGUCUGUUUGUUUUCUGAGCAGGAAAGCUGAAACCCAGGAUAAGGAUAGCUGCAGUGGAGAGACUGCUGGCCUUCUAAACGGAAGGGGAAACGGACAGGUGGAUCCUGGUGGUUGUGUUGGAACACUGGCAGCAACAAAUCAAACAAAUGAAAACACCAAGAGCAUAAGCUCACGAACAGCAAGCAGAAACAGAAUAGAAAACUCAAAAGCAAAAAAUGUAAAAUGAAUGGAAUACUACUUCUUUUCAUUUCAUUUGAAAAUAUAAGAGUUACAAAAUUAGAAUGUCAGUUACCUAAACUUGUAACUGCUCCCACCUAUUUUGGCAAGUUGCCAACUAAAGUAAUACAAAGAAAGCUGAAAAAAUUUUAGCCAUUACAUCCAUCAAUUCAAAUCUUAACAACUCUAAAAGUCUAGUUAUAUUUAGUUUGGAUGGCAUUACAAAAUGAACAAAAGUAAACCAAAUAAUUUAGCUACUUCUGGUCCUGCUUGAAUGCUGGUCUGCUGCAGCUGCUGGUCUUCAUCAUGGCCUUCUGUUGCAUUGCAGUCCAUGCUCAACACUCCUCCUUGGACUGUAGGCAACAAACACCAACCAAAUCUCUAAGAAUUUCAAACCUCAUAGCACCAAGAGGCUUUGUUAAAAUGUCAGCCAAUUGAUCUUGUGAACUACAAUAUGCAAGAUUCACAUCCUUUGAUUGUACUGCCUCUCGAACAAAAUAAAAUUUGAGCUUAAAGUGCUUUGUUUUGCCAUGAAAAACAGCAUUCUUGGAGAUAGCUAUUGCUGAUUGAUUAUCAACCAUAAUCUCAGUAGGCUCAAAUUGUUCCUCAUUCAAAUCACACAACAAUUUUCUAAGCCAAAUAGCUUGGCUUACUGCUCCAGCUGCUGCUAUGUACUCUGCCUCAGCAGUUGAUUGAGCAACUAUUUGCUGUUUUCUAGAGCUCCAACAGAAAGCUCCUGAACCAAGAGAAAAGAGGUAGCCUGAGGUACUCCUCAUAUCAUCAAUCGAACCUCCCCAGUCACUGUCUGAGUAACCAGAUAACUUCAGCUGACCUCCUGUCUUGAACAUCACUCCAAACUUCAAGGAUCCUUUCACAUACCUGAGGAUUCUCUUUGCAGCUUUUAAAUGUGAUGUGUUGCAGCUAUGCAUAAAACGAGAUAGCAAACUGACCGAAUGCAUAAGGUCAGGUCUAGUUGCUGUCAAGUAUAGCAAACAUCCAAUUAGACUUCUAUACUCUCUUUCAUCCACCUUUUCUUCAUCUCCAUAGCUGCUCAACUUCUGUCCCAUGACUAAAGGUGUACCCACUGGCUUGCAAUUUUCCAUAUGGAACUUAGUGAGAAUUUUCAAGGCAAAUGCAUGCUGGCUGAUAAAAAUGCCUUGAUCAGACUGGUCUACUUCCAUACCAAGGAAGUAAGUCAUGAUUCCCAAGUCUGUCAUGUCAAACAUGUUUUGCAUAUUCUUCUUGAACUCCUGAAUCAAAUCGACCCUGCUUCCAGUCACUAAUAGAUCAUCCACAUAUAUUGAGACAAUCAGCAAAGUCUCAUUUUUAGACUUCUUUAUAAACAAAGUUGGCUCACUCAAACUUUUCUCGAAAUUGAGCCUAAACAGGUAAGCAUCUAUCCUGUCAUACCAGGCUCGAGGAGCCUGUUUUAGUCCAUAGAGUGCCUUCUUCAGCUUGUAAACCUUGUCCUCCUUUCCUUGGACUUUAAAUCCAUCAGGCUGUUCAACAUAAAUUUCCACUUUAAGAAAGCCAUUCAGGAAAGCUGACUUGACAUCAAGCUGAUGGACCUUCCACUGUUUCUGUGCAGCGAAAGCAAAUAGAAGCUUUAUGGUAUCCAGCCUUGCCACUGGAGCAAAUGUCUCCUCAAAAUCAAUGCCAAACUGUUGAUUGUACCCUUUCACCACAAGCCUUGCCUUGUGCUUGUUCAGAGAGCCAUCUGCAUUGAAUUUGGUCCUAAAAACCCACUUGACACCUAUGACUUUCUUCUGAUCAGGUCUGUCUACCAGAUCCCAAGUAUCAUUCUUAUGGAUCAUGUCGAUUUCAGCCUCCAUAGCCUUCUUCCAGCUCUUGCUUCUAGCAGCUUCUUCAUAGCUUGAAGGCUCAACAAUGGCCACAUUGCACCUUUGGUAGAUAUCAGCAAUAGACCUGGUCCCUCUCACAGGAGCAUCAUCUACAUUGGCAUUACUGACUUCAUUUUCUGCCAAUUCCAAAUUGCUGCCAAUCUGCUCUUCUUCAAACUGACUUGUGUUAGAGUCAUCUAGACUCCAAAACCUUCCUUCAUCGAAUUUGACAUCCCUGCUUACCAAAAUCUUCUUGGUUGAAGGAUCAAAUACUCUGUAGCCCUUCUUGCAGCUACUGUAACCAACAAAUAUACCAGGAACUGACCUCUUCUCGAGCUUGGUUCUUCUUUCUACAGGGACAAGUACAAAACACUUGCAACCAAACACUUUUAAAUGGGAAACAGUUGGUUUAAGAUCAUACCAUACUUCAAAAGGAGUUUUAUCAUUCACAGCAUGUGUUGGCAGCCUAUUGAGCAGGUAUACUGAGGUGUUGACACCUUCAGCCCAAAAAAUGCUUGGAAGCUUGCUUUGAAACAACAUGCACCUGGUCAUGUUCAUCACUGUUCUGUUCUUCCUCUCACACACUCCAUUUUGCUGAGGAGUGUACACUGUGGUUAACUGAUGAUGAAUCCCAGCCUGCUCACAUAGCUUCUGAAAUCUUUCAGACAAGUAUUCAGAACCAUUGUCUGUCCUCAAGGCCUUAAUCCUGCAGCCUGUUUGAUUUUCUGCCAAUGCCUUGAACUUUCUAAAAACUUCAAACACUUCUGACUUCUGUUUCAUGAAAUAAACCCAGCAAAAUCUGGUUAGAUCAUCAAUAAACAGUAUAAAAUACUUACUGCCAUUCAGUGAAGGGGUCUUCAUUGGUCCACAGACAUCUGAGUGCACCAACUCAAGUCUUUCUCGAGCCCUCCAUGCUUGGUUAGCUGAAAAGGGCAACCUGGCUUGUUUGCCAAGCUGACACACCUCACAAACGCCUUCACUUGCACUAAACUUCACCAUGUCUUCUGUCAUGUUCAUUUUGUGCAGCAAAUCAAGUGAUUUGAGGCUAACAUGGCCAAACCUCUUGUGCCAAAGAUCAGUAUUGUCAACUGAGCUUGUAUAUGCACUUUUCUCAAGCUGACUCACUUCCAGCAUAAAACAUUUGUCUCCCAUAGGUGCUGAGACAAUCUCCCUACCAUGAGCAUCACUUAUAACACAAGAAUCAUUCUUGAAAACUAGUGAAAAGCCUUUCUUGACUAGCUGGCCUACACUGAGUAAAUUUUGGUCUAUUUCUGGCACAUAGAGCACAUCAGAAAUGAUUUUGUUACCUGAACCAGUGUGAAUGACCACAUCACCUCUACCUUUUGCUUCAAUCAAGUUGCCAUUGCCUAUCCUGACCUUCGAGACAUAGCUCCUGUCAAGAUUCUUGAAAAGGCUCUCAUCUGCAGCCAUGUGGUGUGAGCAGCCACUAUCCACAAGCCAACUGCUCAUGCUUUUAGCUGCAUAACAUGAAGCUGUAAAUACAUGCUCCUCCUGAGCUUGGACAUCCUCGGCAGACUUGGCUUGUACUGGUUGUGCUUGUGCCUUCUCAUGACUUCUACAGAUUUUCUCAUGAUGACCAUACUUCUUACAGCUUCUACACUGUAUAUCUGGUCUGGUCCAGCAAAAUUUUUCCAGGUGAUUGGUCUUCUUGCAGUGAAUGCAUAGUGGAAACCUCCUUCUACCGGCAUCUUUCUUUGAUUUUUCCUUCUUUUCAAACCAAGGCUUCUUAGCUUUCUGGCUUGAGCUGGAGCCUUCUCUGACCUUUGCUUGAAAAGCACCUUCAAGACUCUCCUCCUGCCUACUUGCUCUUCUCUGUUCAAGUGCAUAGAGUGAGUUAACCAACUCAGACAAAGAAAUGGUUGUGAGAUCUCUCGAGUCCUCCAAUGAGGAGAUUUUUGACUCAAACCUUUCAGGUAAGGUGGUAAUAACCUUCUCAACAACCCUACUAUCACUGAAAUCUUCUCCAAGGAGUCUAAUAUUAUUGACUGUAGCCAUAAUCCUAUCAGAAUAUUGCUUGAUAGUUUCUGACUCCUUCAUCUUUAAAUUUUCAAACUCCCUUCUAAGGUUGAUGACUUGUUGCUGCCUGGUCUUGUCUGAUCCCAUAAAUUCCUCUUUUAGCCUGUCCCAUGCCUGCUUGGGAGAGUUACAGGCCAUGAUACGAGUGAAAAUAACAUCUGAUAUUCCAUUCUGCAAACAGGCCAUAGCUUUGUGUUUCUUGGCUCGUUCCUCACCAUGUUGUCUGAUCUGAGCAAUGGUAGGAUUUGCUCUUAAUGGUGCUGGCUCGACAUCACUCUCAACUGCACUCCAGAGGUCAAGUGCUUGAAGAUAUGUCUUCAUUUUGACAACCCAAAUGUGGUAGUUGUCUCCAGCAAAAACUGGUGGUGGAGGAGGAGCAAAACUCAUGCUGCCAAGACUGACUUUGAAAACACAAAAAACUGACUUUGAAAAAAGACUAAAACAUAAACAACAGAGGUCCUCAAAGAUAGGAGGCUCUGAUUACCAUUUGUUGGAACACUGGCAGCAACAAAUCAAACAAAUGAAAACACCAAGAGCAUAAGCUCACGAACAGCAAGCAGAAACAGAACAGAAAACUCAAAAGCAAAAAAUGUAAAAUGAAUGGAAUACUACUUCUUUUCAUUUCAUUUGAAAAUAUAAGAGUUACAAAAUUAGAAUGUCAGUUACCUAAACUUGUAACUGCUCCCACCUAUUUUGGCAAGUUGCCAACUAAAGUAAUACAAAGAAAGCUGAAAAAAUUUUAGCCAUUACAUCCAUCAAUUCAAAUCUUAACAACUCUAAAAGUCUAGUUAUAUUUAGUUUGGAUGGCAUUACAAGAUGAACAAAAGUAAACAAAAUAAUUUAGCUACUUCUGGUCCUGCUUGAAUGCUGGUCUGCUGCAGCUGCUGGUCUUCAUCAUGGCCUUCUGUUGCAUUGCAGUCCAUGCUCAACAGGUUGCACCGCCGCACCUUGCAGUCGUCUUGGAUUGGCACUGCUUCUGCAACAUUCACAGCUAAGAUAAAGCAGAAUAACGAGUAAAUUAACAUUGUUCUUACUAACUUGUGAGCCCUUGAAGUGAAACGGGCUUUAAAUAGUUUCAUUGACAUAGGUGGUUCAGCCCUUGAGAGUUCCAAUUAUGCACGCAACGCAGCUGCUGCUUUACUAUAUAGAUUUGUCUCGUUUAACAGGGUCUUCAACUCUUCGUCCUCUCUUUGUCCUCUUUUAUGAGUAAAUGUUGGACAUGUUUGAUUGUUAGCAACCCUUUCUAAUCUUGUUACUAAUUUUCUUUUAUUCCCGU